rnacentral:lncRNA from 1 species
AGAAGUUAUCUUAAACGUAGAAGAAACAUUUUCCAUUUUUAAUUUAAGUCUAUUGUACAUUGUAUUAUACAAGUAAGAGUAACACUUUUUUAAUAGUGUUCAUUACACCUAAUAAAAUGAGGUGCCGGGCCCUAACCUAUAAGUCCAUGCUCCCACUCAUACUACCCAUAUAUAUUGAAUUAUUUUAUCAUUCAAUAUAUAUCCAAUUUCCUCAUGUUAUAAGUUUUGGUGGAGAUCAUGCUUCAAAUGAUGUGAAAUUUGAUUAACUAAUUAAUCAACACGGAUUUGAAACUUACUUUGAAAGGUGAAAAACAUGAUCCUCGAGAUUUAUUCAUGGUUAUGAAAUAAAGCAUAAAACAUUAAAAGUUAUCUGCAAUGAAGUUUCAUUUUUUUUUUUUUGUUACAAGCCACGAAGUUUCCUAUGUCACUCAAAUUCAAUCACUGCUUUGGUGACUUUCCCUUCCUCUUUUCAAUAUAGAAGAACACACCUAGGGACACAACCGAGAAAGCACUGAAGACAACGGAGCAGAUAUCAAGUGUCGCGUGGCGGCCACUGAUUGCAUUGAUCUCAAACAAGUUGGUACUCUUACCCGCGUUCGUGGUUUGGCCAUAAGCCACUUCCUUAUCGUUGGAAUCAAAUGCAUAGGCGCGUACAAAGUACGUUGCCUGAGGAACGUCGCGCUGAAUCAACCACUCGAAGGUUUGGACCGUUUUGUUGGAAGCAUUGUAUGGCAUGGCUAACAUUUUGUGUUGGCAAGUUUUGUCCCUAGAGAGUUCAUCCUCUGUCUUUCUCCAAGCGCGGUCUUUUUGGCUUAUGGCCGCGUAGCACAACUUCAGCUUUAUGGUUUUGUAUGAAGAGUCUGUUCCAGCUGGGAAGGUCUUGUUUAGAGCCCAUGUCCCACUGAUUUUGUCUACUCCAGAUAACAGAACUGCAUAGAUAUUUCAUAGCAAAAUUGAGUUUAUAUUUAAGGAGUAUUUAACAUCAUGACUUAUAUAAAAUUAUAAUUAAAUACGCCAAUACAAAAGGUGCAAAAUCUUAUUGUUACAAUUACCUUGUCCAUGCUUAGGGGAAGCUGUGACAUCAAGGGUUCUUUUCAAGGAAGAAAAGAGAUCCUUUCCAUAACAAAGUUCAGAUAAACAGCAUAGAAGAAGUGAUGCUACCACAAGCUUGUGUGCUGCCAUAGUUACUUAUAAAGAAAAGUCAACUUGGUGAAAAGGAGUAGACUUGAGAGAAAAGCCAAAAUUGGAAUGAUAUUAUGAGAAGAAUCUGAAUGGAGAUGCACUCAUUCUAAAGCAUUAUAUAUAAGGCAAAAUCCAAAUAAAAUAGUAUAAAUCUAUAUAAGUCAAAAGGCCCAAAUGCCCAAAAUAUAGUCUAAAAAAUAAUGGACGGAAGAAGCAAGUUGUAGACAGUAUAGCCCUUGAACAUAUAGAAGGGUCAUCCUAUUCAAAUCCAACGCAAGCUUAUUGGACUGAUGGAUAUAGUUUAGUUUAAUUUAUGGAUUAGUACAGGUUAAUUUGGCAACUGUUUAUUUUAAUAUUCCUUUAAUUGUGACACUAAGGUCCGUAUGAUAAUUUUUUGUCGAGAAAGAAAAAUAAAGUUCCCCUAAAAAAAAGAAUAAAAUUAAAACUGUUAUUGUGUUUGUAUUUUCUUCUUCUGCUCAAUAGCUUGAAGUUUUUCUUUUUGAAAUGAAAGGUUCGGGUGAGAUGUUGUAUGUCCCCCAUGUUCUCUACAUGAUUAAGUUCAUUUUUUCAUUCUUCAAAAAAAUAUAUUCAUUUUUUCAUAUAAAGCAUUUUUUUUCAUGUUUAUCAAAGAGAGUCUACAGCAUUAUUUAUGAUAAGUUGAUACUAAAAUAUUAAAAAAAAAAAAAAAAAAAAAAAGGUCUCAUGCUCAUCACAGUUCAAGUAUAAAUGUCAAUAAUUUAAUGGGUUCUAAUUCCUUGAUUCCCAUUUGAUCUUAUAUUGUUAUCUUAGUUUUGUCCUCGUAUGUCCUGGAAAGGACAAGCAAGCAAACUGUGUUCUUAAAGUUUGGCUUUCCGUACUCCAUGUCUCAGAUCAACCUUUUUAUCCAAAAAAAAAAAUUUCUCCGAUCAACCUUUAUGUAAUGAAAAGCCACAUUUUCUCUAUGUAAUUUUGUUAUUAAAUCCGGUUAGGAUGGACUGUUGACUUAAGACCUUGCAGUAUAUUCUUAACAAGAUUUUAAAUUUGAUUCUCUUCAUGUCGAUUUUGAUGGACUAACAUAUGUUCUUAAAAAAAAUUACUUUUGUUAAUGUUUUUUUACAAAUUUAAAAUAACCUACUAUAAAUCAUGUUUUUUAGACAAUAUAACAGUGUUGUGAAUUGCCUUAUUUGCAUGUAUAUUAACAUAAAUAAUGUUGCUUGAGAGUGUUAAUAGAAAGAAAUAAUUUUAUAUUUAUAAAUUAUUUUCAUAGGCUCUCCAAGAUAACUUAUAAAAAUAAUGUAUAAUUUUUUACUUUAUUUUAUCUUUUGUCAUAGAAUGAAUGAAAUGCGUAAAUUAUUGUUGCUAUGUCCAUUGUCGAUGAGGUGUAAGAGGACAAACAUGUAUGAAAUUUUACGCCUCAUGGCGUUAGCUUCGCGUGUCAACACAUCAUGAAAAAUUUAGUCGAUAACGCGGACUUACGUGUAGAGGGCAAUUGGACGAAAUUAUGGCAUCUCAAAGUACCACUAAAAAAAUGAAGGUUUCCCUAUGGAAGGUGGCACGCGGUUACCUACCAACAGGAUACCGCCUUCAAACACAGAGUAUUCAGUGUAAUGAUCAUUGUGUGAUGCGGGAUAGGUUGUAUAAAAAUGAUUGACAUGUUUACUUUGGUUGCGACAAGUUAGAAGUCGUGUGGGAAGUGGCGCGGCUGUGUCAUAUCAUCAAAGAGAAUCUAGUAGUAGCAAAUGGAUUUGCAACUCUCUUCUUUCAACUAUUCGAACAACUUCCUCAUCAACAACUCCUUAUUUUUGUAAUGACUUUGUGAUGCAUAUGGAAAAGAAGAAAUGAGAAGCUUUCGAGUGAUAUAAAUACGAAUCCACGUAUGUUGGUGUACAUGGCACAUGAAUCUUUGAUGAAAUGGCAGCAAGCCCACGAACAUGCAUACAACAAGGAGGAAUGAUAAAGCAAUUCUAACAAAACAAUAAGUCAUAAUCAUGACAACUUGAGCUAAAUGGAGGUAGGAGAGGUCAAGUUCACAUCGAUGCAGCAAUCUUCAAGGAACAAGAGUGUUUAUGGAAUAUGCAUGUGCGUUAGAGGAAGUCUAGGAGAGUUCAUAAAGGCAAAAAUAACUUGGUUCUUUGGAUUACAGCAACCACACGAAGCGGAGGCAAGGGACUUAAAGGAAGCGAUAAAGUGACUUGACAAUAUAGGUCUAUCUAAAGUGUCUAUCGAACUUGAUUGCAAGCAAGUGGUUGACGGUAUAAUUAAGAGACUCAACACCAAUUCCAUGUUUGACGCUAUUAUUGAUAUUUGAACAACUUCACUUAAAACCUAUCAAAACUAGGAGACAAACAAAUAGUGUUGCUCAUUUGUUAACAAGGACGUCAUUAUCUUAUGCUAGUUUCCACAUUCAUGAUCAUAUUCUAUCUUGUACUGAGACUGUAAUUAUUGAUGAAAUGAGUUAAGUUUGCUUUCGUCAAAAAAAUAAUCUUUUAUUAUAGAAUUAAAUUGUAUAUUAUAUACGAUAAAUGUUUAUUUUUUUUUUUUGGCAAAAUAAAUGCUUAUGUUUAAAACGCUUAAUUGAAUUGUUUAUACAAGCACGACAUAUAUAAUUGAGUAAUUUUAUCUCAUAGUCGUUACAAAAAAAUAUUAGAAGUUUAUAUAACAUCACAAAUCUUAAUAAAUUUAAUAAUGUUAUAAUAUUAACAAAAAGAUGUAGGUUUCGUAUCCAACAAAAAAAAAGAUGUAUAUAGAAGAUAGAAGUAUAGAUAUAAUAAGAGAAAAAAAGAACAAGAGAAAACAUAUCAAGCAGGCUUGCCCGAGUGGUCUAAGGGGGUAGACUUAAGACCUACUGCACUGAGUGCGCGUGGGUUCAAACCCCACAGCCUGCAAAAUUCUUUUGCUUAUUUUUUUUUUUUUAAUUAUUUGUAUUUUUGCUCUAGAGCUUUUUUGGUCCUAUUUGACUCAUAAGAAAAAUGCAUCUCUAUGAUUACAAAGUAUAUGUUUGACACCAUUUCAACAUAUUUCGACUGACAAUAAAUAAUAUAUCAAAAUUUGUUCAAUUAGAAAGUUACAUCAUUAUCUCAACUGAACUAAAAUAUGGUUGCUUUCACACCAAUUACUACUACUGUCCCGAUUGCACAGGAUAUGAUAUUUUAGAAUCAAUUAAAUUUUUAUCAUUUUCUCAAGUUAUAAAUAGAUUUUUUAGAGGUAAUAAAUUAUUUUUGUAUACGUAUAAAAUAUAUAAUGACCUUAAAAUCAUUUGGAGUGCACGGCAUAUAUAUAUGUAAUUUGUUCAUAUAGAACUUGCUUUGGCACUUUGCUAUAAGCUUAAUUAAUUAUUUACAAAAAUUUCAUUCUGCAAAUGCUUAAUUUAUCAUCUCAGACAAUUAUUUCCCUACUAAGGAACCUUCAUUGAGCUUCAAAAUUUAGUGUUAGCUAACCCACGUCGAUUCAGUAAUGAAAAAAAAUACUAAUAAAUAUCUUUAGAACACUUGAUAAAAAGUUUAAAAUAAGACUUCCAUUGGCCUAUCCAACACUAAAGCUUAAAUAAAUUAAAGGAUCAAUUUUAUCUUUUUAUUAAAUACAAUCGCAUAGUUAGCAUUAAAAUUUGUCGGUUAUAUAAAUGUGAAUUAUCACGUUAACAGUACAAGUUUGCCACCAGCAAUUAAUAACAAAUAAGGAAUGUGGUUUUGUAAAUAUACAUUGUGACUGGUUGUUUUUUUAGGUUGGUCCCUCUGGUACACCUUGUACCGAGGGGUCUCCAACGUCGUAGCUAAUAUAUUUCAUUUUGAUUUUUUCUAAAAAAAAAAAAACAAAUAAGGAAUGUGAGUUCGCUAAUGAGAUUUCCAAGUCAAACUAAGGAGUACAGAUAAAUAUUUAAGAGGAAAUUGGCAUCCACAAAUAUAUAUUCAUAACAAACAAAUAUAUAUAUAUAUAUAUAUUUUUUUAUACCAAAAUAAGAAAUAACUAUUAUAAAUACCUAUACCUGUUAUGAAAUUAACAUAAACUAUAGCAAGAUAUUGCAAACUAUAGAAGAAUGGAGAUAAGAGAGAAAGGGAAAAUAUAGAAUAGAGAAUAAAAGAGUAUUGCAUUAUGCUCUUCAAAGAUUGUAAUUCUUGCAAUGUCACCUGACUCCUAUUUAUAUGACAUAAAUGAAGUUAAGAGCAAUACCAAUGAGUGAAAACCAUAUAGUCAUAGGACCUAUAGACUAUCCAUGAAAUAUGAAAAACUUAGGGAGCUGCACAUCCACCAAAUAUUCAUAACAUUAUUGAUAAUAUUAUUUAAUUAGGCCUGCAGCAUAUAUAAGGCAUAAUAAAGCAUUCAAAACAAUCUGCCAUGAAGUUUCCUAUGUCACUUAAUUCAAUCACUGCUUUGGUGACUUUCCCUUCCUUUUUUCAAUAUAGAAGAACACACCUAGGGACACAACCGAGAAGGCGCUGAAGACAACGGAGCAGAUAUCAAGAGUCGCGUGGCGGCCACUGAUUGCGUUGAUCUCAAACAAGUUGGUACUCUUACCCGCGUUCGUGGUUUGGCCAUAAGCCACUUCCUUAUCGUUGGAAUCAAAUGCAUAGGCGCGUACAAAGUACGUUGCCUGAGGAACGUCGCGCUGAAUCAACCACUCGAAGGUUUGGACCGUUUUGUUGGAAGCAUUGUAUGGCAUGGCUAACAUUUUGUGUUGGCAAGUUUUGUCCCUAGAGAGUUCAUCCUCGGUCUUUCUCCAAGCACGGUCUUUUUGGCUUAUGGGCGCGUAGCACAAUUUCAGCUUUAUGGUUUUGUAGGAUGAGUCUGUUCCAGCUGGGAAGGUCUUGUUUAGAGCCCAUGUUCCACUGAUUUUGUCAACUCCGGAUAACAGAACUGCAUAGGUAUUUCAUACCAAAAUUGAGUUUAAUCAGCUUGAAGGAGUAUUUAACAUCAUGUAAAAACAAGUAUGCAAUCACAAUAUAGGAUAAGACAUUCAUUUAUUAAGGUUUUUGAUGCGUAUUAACUUUGCAAAAAUUAAGGUUGCAUCAGUCAUAUUCCUUUGUGAUCAUUUGUAUUAUCAAAAAUUGCAACGCGACUGCAGUUUAAAAACCUUAUUAAAUAACACACUGGACUCUAUUAAACUUGGCCAAAUUUUCUUGAAAAAUGUUCAUAGUGGUAUAUGAGAUUAUUCAAAUUCAAGAAAAGAGGAAGGAACAUAAUCACAUACAAAUCAAAAUUAAAUCAAGUAUCUUUUUAAAGAAGAAAAAAAGUGACUUUGUCUUCAAAUUAAUUCAUCAAAAUUAAACAUGAUCUAUGUGAUUCAUCAUAUUCUAUUUUAACUAGCAUAAGUCAAUACAAGGUGCAAAUUCUUCUUGUUACUUACCUUGUCCCUGCUUAGGGGAAGCUGUGACAUCAAUGGUUCUUUUCAAGGAAGAAAAGAGAUCCUUUCCAUAACAAAUUUCAGCUAAACAGCAUAGAAGAAGUGAUGCCACCACAAGCUUGUGUGCUGCCAUAGUUACUUAUAAAGAAAAGUCAACUUGUGAGAAGUAGAAGACUUUAGAGAAAAGCCAAUUGGAAUUGGAAUGAUAUUAUGAUGAGAAGAAUCUGAAUGGAGAUACACUCAUUCUAAACCAUAUUAUAUACAAAGCCCAAUCCAAAUAAAAUAGCAUAAAACUGAUACAAAUUGAGUUUUGACUUUGGGUAAUGACAACUACUGUUAUAAGUCAGAAGGCCCAAAAUAUUGUCGAAGCGUGUUUGAUUGUACGGUGAGGAGAAUUAAUUUUGAUAAAAUUGAUUAUAUAGAAUUGAUUUUGAUUAAAAGUGAUUUGUGUUUGGAUAUUUUUAUGUAAAAGUGAGUUUUGCUAUUAACAUGUGUGUGAAAAUCAAUUCUAAAAUCAAAAGCUAUAAAUAUUGUAGAAUCAAUUCUGGAGGUAGAAUCAAUUUUAGCGACAUGAGUCAAACAUGUCAGCAUCAAUUUUAUACCUCUCCCUUCAAAAAAAAAAAAAAUUUAUACCUCUAAAAUCAAUUAUGAUUUCUCUAGAUGUUGAACCAAAUAUACACUAAAAAAAAAAAUUGGAAGAGGAGAAAAGUAAUAGACGGAGCAAACAAGUGCCAAGUGGUAUAGAUGGCCCUUAAACUUGUUGAAGGGACAUCCUAUUCAAAACCAACUAACUUAUUGUACCGAUGGAAAUAGUUUAGUUUAGGACAGGUUAAAAAAAAACAGUUUUGUUUUAAAAAAAAAAAAUUUGAAAACAGUUUGUUUUAAUUUUAAUAUUACUUUAAUUAUGACACUAAGGUAUAUGUAUGAUGAUUUUCGUCUUUGAAUUUUGUCGACAAAGAAAUAUUAAGUCAUUGAUUUUGAAAUUGUUAUUGUGUUUACUUUGUUAUUGUUGUGUUUCUAUUUUCUUCAUGUCCUCAAGUGCUUUGAAUUUUUUAUGGACAGACGGUUAUACAUAAUCCAUUAGAUAUUAAAAUUCUUUGGACGAGUUGUUUGUCUGCAGGUUCCUAACGUGAGAUUUAUUUUUUUUGACAAACCUAAUGUGAGAUUAAUUAAGUUCUUUUUUUAACAUAUAAAAAAUAUAUUAGCCUAAAAUGACCAGUAGAGCUGCCAAUUAUAGAAGGAAGAACAAUUCAAUUUAGUUUUUUUAGAAUAAAUCAAUUUUAUGUCGUUAAAUAUCAAACUUUAUCAUGCCACGAUAUGAUUUUAUAUAGAGUGUACUUAUCCUUUUAUAUAGAGUGUACUUAUCCUUUUAUUUAUAUAACAUAAAGUCUAAUUAGUGUAUAGGGAGGUAGCAUACCUAGUUCUUCGUUUUUAUAGAUGGUGUCUGUGUUCGUUGGAGUGCUUGAAAUUGCUCUAAAAAUUAUUUGUAUUGUAAUGAGUUUGAGUAUCCUUGUACUCUCUGUCAAUAUAUUGUUUAUCUAAAACAAGAAUCAUUCUAUGUAAAUGGACUUAGACAUCUUAAAUGGUCGGACUUAAUUUUUACUCUUGACUAUAGGGCUGGAAAUGAGUCGAGUCGAACUGAACCUGUCUGAGCUCGACUCGACUCGAUAAGAAUUUGCUCGGCUUGAAACUCGACUCGAGUUCGACACGAACUCUUUUUUCAGCUCGAAUUCGACUCGUUUAAAGUUCACGAACAGUUCGGUUCGACUCGUUAGGUUCAAUUUGUUGCUUGAGUAAUAUAAUUCAAAAGUUUUUUUUUUUUUUUUCAAAAAUUUAUAUUUUGACCUCUUAAUUUAUUUAAAAAAAGUAUACUAAAAUUGAACUAAAACAAAAAACUAUAGACCAUGUUUGUCUCAAGACUACUAAGUAAAAAAGUAGUAGUAACAACUGCACUGCAAUCCAUAUAGAUUCUCAAAUGCACUUCUCUUUUAUAACUACUCUUAUGCUAUGUUGUUACUAAACUCCCCGAUAUGGGACAAAGUUUAGCACAAGUGUGUUAUUUGCUUCUUAUUGUUUCUUUUGUUCUUUUUUUUGGGUGAUAUUCUUUCUCUCUUUUAUUAAAUUGUUGAUUAAAUUAGAAAUAAUUCUUCCUCCUCUCUUUGAUAAAAAAAAAAUAAUUCCUCUAAAAACAAGUACAUAAAUAUCAUAGAAAGUUUGUAAUAAAUUACAUGUGUUGUAUUUUAAUAUUAGUGCCUGUACUUUAUAAAUUUUUACUAAACUUAUAUAUAUAUAUAUAUAAUAUUAUCGAGCCAACUCAUGAACCAACCGAGUCGAACUAUAUAAAGUUCAAGUUCAGCUCAUUUGUUUAACGGAUUUAAUUUUCAGCUUGUUUGGUUCAUGAACCAAAUUCAACGAGUUAAUUGUCGAAUCAAGUCCUAAACUAUUGUCGAGUUGGUUCGGUUCAUUGCCAGCCCUACUUGACUAUGAAAAAAAUAUUGUUAAUUUAGGAUAGCCAAUUUCAUAUAUCUAUCAAGUUUGUCAAAUUAUAUUAGCCAAUAAUAAAUGAUGGUGGAUAUUAUAAUUAGUCAAAGAGUUAAAGAGGGCCAUGUAGAAAAUAGGAACGUGGACUCUUAUAAAUAAGAGAAACUCAAAAAAAUGAGGUAUGAAAUGUGUGAUGUAACUUCUUUUUCUCUCUUUGAUUCCAGUCUCUCUGUUCUAUUCUUCUUAUUUGAUUCCAGUCUCUCUGUUCUAUUCUUCUUAUUGCUACUACAUCUUCUUAUUUACCUAUUGUGUUCUAUCAAAAACGAUUAUACUCCCUCCGUCCCUAUAUAUAAGACCCUUUUAUCAAAAUCACGGGAAUUAAGAUAGUGGAUAUUUGUAUUAAAGUUGUUUGUAAUCACUAUUGUUUUUACAAUUUUAUCCUUUAAGAAAGAAGGUUAGUUUAUGUUUUCAACAUGUUAUUUAUUGUUGAUUGAAGAAAAAGAUGUAUAAUAAAUAGGGGCAUGUAUGUAAAGAAAUAAUUAAUGUAGUUGGAAGUAACAAAGGGGUCUUAUAAAAAGGGACAAAAGAAAUUCUCAAAAGGGUCUUAUAAUUAGGGACGGAGGAAGUAAUUACCAAAUUAUAAUGCUUCUUUGGAUGAAUCAAUAGGAUAUUGUUUGCAUUUCCAUUCCAAUUGAGGAGAACCAUUACAGAUAUUCAAACCUAUAAUAUGAUUAUAAAAAAUAUUUAUCAAUAAUUAAUUUGGUAGCUAAUUUCAUCUGAUGGUUUAAUUUUAAUCAACUAGUUUCUUAGUUAUAAAUAAAUUGUCAUUACUUUUCAACUAUAUAUACAAACUAUAUAAUAAAAAAAAAAGGUGUAUAUAAACUAAUAAGUUUCUCUCAAAAAAAACAAAAAACUAAUAAGUUGAUUCAACCCUGUAUAAUUUUCAAAAACAUUAUUUACUCAUACUUGAUCUUAUAUAACUCAGAUAUUUAUGGAAAAGAAAUAUUUUUAAAUAAAAUUUGGAGUUCAUCCAAAUACAAGUACAAUAGUCAAUCAAUAUCAAUAACUCCUUAUAUAAUUGGAUUAUUAUAUUAUUCUUCCCUUCCCAUUUGAGCCUAUGGUGUUCUCUUUGUUUUGUCCAUUAUGUCUCGGAAAGGGCAAGCAGACAAAGGUGUGUGUGUGUAUACGUAGACGUCAGCCAUAGCCGUACAGUUACAGAAAAGGCAACGGAAAGGGGUUAGGAGGAUCCCAUAUUCUGUUGUUAUUUGCUACGUUUCCUUCAUUUCCUAUAAUAUUAUGGUGAAGUCUAACAUGAGGGAGCCAAUAGGUCCCUCAUGACAUGUGGGAGCAAAAGAUGCUUUUUUUUUACCUUAGGAUUAAAACAAUGAAUUGAUCUACUCCACCUCAGCAAGAGAGCACAUGCACCUCUCCACACUCAAUCAAAAUAGACCACACACUUUCUCUAUAUGAUUUUCUCUCACCUCUAUCACUUGCUUAUCUUGUCUUCUAUUUCUCUCUCUUAAGUUUCUUCCUCAUUUUACAACCCAGCAAUCAUAUGCACACACAGACUGUUAUCUCGCCCUCAUUCUCACCUCCUUUCCUCAAGAUACUUCACUGUUGCAAUUUAGGCAUGGGAAGCAUUAAACUGGGAACAUACAUACAUUCCUUUGGUUGCUGCAAAAGAAUAAUGUAUCACAUCUAAGCGAAUAAUUAUGUAUGAAAAUAACUAUUUAAGUACAACAAUUACCAAAGCAGCUAGGCUGACAUUUCUGCACGCUCCACAUACAAUCCGAGGUUUCUGGAAAAGUGUUAUUUUUAAAGAACCCUAAAAAAUAAAACAUGUGAUUAGCUUGUGGAUUUGAAAAAUAAGCUUGUGCUUUCUUCGUGCCAUUCAAUUCCGAUCAAAACUCCAUAAAAAUCGUUGAAUUUCAUUGUGUACCGAGGGAGAUAUGACCGGGUCGAUUAACGGGUCAAAAAACCCGUUUGAGUGUCUACGGGCGAAGAAGAUGAGAUUAAAAAAAGAUAAAAAAAAAAACAAAAAUUUGCCUUGGCAGGAGUUGAACCGACGCCAUACAACACAUAAAUCCCUAAACACUACCAACUGUACUGUGAUUACAAUUGCUAAUUUUAUAGAUUUUUAGUUUAUUUAUUUACUGUUACUUGUUUUGAAUUAGAUUUCUUUAUCAAGCAAAUCUUAUAUAGAUACAAGUCUAAAUAAAAUUUAUAUGAACACACAUACAUCAAUAAUAAAAUUUAAAAAUGAGACGAUAUUAAGUGAUGUGACUAAACUAUUAUUUUUUUUAAAAAUUUAUCAUCGCUGUGUGUGUCCGGAUUUGAUUAUAUAAAGCAAAUCUUACAUGAAUUGGGAGGGAUAUGAAACAUCAAUGAUAAAAUUUAAAUAGGAGACUAUAUUAAGUGAUGUAAUCGAAUUAUCAUUUUUUUAAAAUUUUAUCAUUGUUGUGUGUGUCCGGAUUUGAUUAUAUAAAGCAAAUCUUACAUGAAUUGGGAGGAUAUGAAAUUUGAUUAUUUUAGCAUUAGAGGGAAAGUGAAAUUGAGUAAUAUGAUUCUGCUAAAAAAAUAAUUAAAGUGAAAUUAAGUUUUUUUAGUUAAUAUUCAAUUCAUUACAUUUAUUCAAAAAAUAAAUGAAAAUUCCUUAGGAAGUCUAGUCAACUAGGAAGGACAACUCCCCGGUGACUGAAACGUUUCUAACAUUUGAACGGAAGCAUGUUUAGUCGAUCCCACCGUUGGAUGUGACCUUCACAAAGUUAGAAGGAAGCAGAAACUGAGAUUUCUCAUAUCAGAAUCUCGAACACGUGUCUACCGGACAAACUAUCUCUUCAGAAGCCUAGUAAACUAGGAAGGACAACUCCCCGGUGACUGAAACGUUUCUAACAUUUGAACGGAAGCAUGUUUAGUCGAUCCCACCGUUGGAUGUGAUCUUCACAAAGUUAUAAAGAAGCAGAAACUGGAAUUUCUCAGAUCGGAAUCUCGGAGACGUGUCUACCGAACAAACUAUCCCUUCAGAAGCAUAGUCAACUAGGAAGGACACCUCCCCGAUGACCGAAACUCGUCUAACUCUAGAACCAGAGCAUGUUUAUUCGAUCCCACCGUUGGAUGUGACCCUCACAAAGUUAGAAGGAAGCAGAAACUGGAAUUUCAUAUCCCUCUCAAUUCAUGUAAGAUUUGCUUUAUAUAAUCAAAUCCUGACACACACAACAGUGAUAAAAUUAAAAAAUAUAAUAAUAAUUUAGUCACCUAAAUUUUAAUGUACGUGUGUUCAUAUAAAUUUUAUUUAGACUUGUAUCUAUCUAAGAUUUGCUUUAUAUAGAAACCUAAAAUAAAAUGAAUUAAACAAUUCAAAACUGGUAAUAGUAAAUAAAUAGACUAAAAAUCUAAAAUAUUAAUAAUUGUAAGUGCAGUGCAAUUGGUUGUGUUUUGGAUUUAAGGGUCAUAGGGUGCCUGUUCGAUUUCUGCAAAGGGAUUUUUUUUUUUAUAAUUUUUUUUAAUGUCAUCUUCUUUAGGUAGUAUACUGUAAAACGGGUUUUUUGACCCGCGAAUCGACCCGGCUGGAUCUCCCAUUGUACACAAUCAAAUUCAACGAUUUUUAUGCACUUUUGAUCGGAAUUGAAUGGCAUGAAGAAUGCACAGGCUUGUUUUUCAAAUCCACAAACUAAUCGCAUAUUUUUGUUUUUUGUUCUAAAAAAAAAACGCCUUUGAAUCAUUCUAUAUCACCGAAUUGACAACUUUUCGCUGUAACAUCGAAUAGUUUCGAUUCAGCAACCAUGAAACCCAUAUCAAUUUGAGAACUAAUUUUCUUCAGAAAGAGGAUAAGAUAAAGAUGCAAGUGAUAUGAGUUUUUGCCAUUUUUGCUAUAACUCUUUCUGAAAGAUGCAAGUGAUAAUUUUUUUUGCUAUAACUCAUGUAUCUAUGUAAACUAGUUAGUUUGAUUUUUGCCAUUUUUUUCAAUUCACAUAAAUUGCAACAGUGAAGUAUCUUGAGGAAAGGAGGUGAGAACGAGGGCAAGAGAACAGUCUCUGUAUUCAUAUGAUUUAUGGGUUGUAAAAUGGGAAAGAAACUUAAAGAGAGAAAUAGCAAAGAAGAUAAGCAAGUGAUAGAGGGGAGAGAAAAUCAUAUGCAGAAAAUGUGUGGUCUAUUUUGAUUGAGUGUGGAGAAGUACAUGUGUUCUCUUGUUGAGGUGGAGCAGAUCCAAUCCAUUUAUUUAAUCCUAAGGUAAAAAAAAAAGCAUCUUUACUUCCUCAUGACAUGAGGGACCUAUUGACUCCCUCAUGUUAGACUUCACCUAAUAUUAUAGCCCUUUUACAAUUUGGUUCAUCGUGUAACAAAAAUAAUACAAAAAGAAGUCCCAAUCAAUCAUACUAUAAUAUAACUAAGCCAAUUUUCAAUCUAAAUGAAACCAAGGUUCAUAGUUACACUACACAUUUGAAAAAACCCAUGAAUGUUAAAAUAAGAAACGUAUGAAGAUCAUUUAUUUGUUUUUUUUGAAAGAAAAUAUCAUUUAUUUGUUAAAUCCCUUAAGAAAAAAAGAUCAAUCCAAAUGUUUUGUCUUUAUGACGGGAAGAGUAAAGGAACAAAAUGGGGUAUUGUUGAUUUGACAUUCUGUAUUUUGGUUGAUUAGGAAAGUAAGUAAUGAAAAGAUUUUUGAAUCUAAAUCAUCAAGUGUAGGUAGAUGAAGUGGUAAAUUACUUUAUCUUGGCAAUGGUUGUUAGGGAAGAAAAGAGGGUCUUAUUAUUUGUAUUAUGAGUAGUAUCUUCACCCUCUUGAUUGUAUUUUGAGAUAGGUGUUAAAAGAAUAAUUUUUAGAUGGACAUAAGAAUUUGGACCCUCUAUUCGGUCACACACACACAAAAAUGGACAUGCUAUAAUCAUUUAAAAAUUAAUGAUUAUUUAAUUGUUAUUUUUUCUACUUUUUUCUUUUUAUAUUUGUGUGAUCAAAUAGAGGAUCCAAAUCUUUAUGUUCAUCCAAAAGUUUCUCGAUGUUAAAUUGAUUUGGGGUUGGCUUUGACUAUUAUUUUUUUUUUGUAAGAGUUUGGAGCGACUCGAGUACUACUUAUAUUGUAUCUUAUUGAUGGAUUUAAUACCAUUUGUACUAGUUGUCGUUUUAUCAAUAAAAAUCAUUAGUUUUAUGUUAAAAAAGAAGGAAAUUUUUUUUAUCUUAUUUGUUAGUGGUUAUUCUAUGAAAUUAAGUUGAAAUAACAUAAUUAAAGAGAAAAAAUGUGAGCUAUUCAGCAGCAUAAGUUACCUGUUAGAGUUAUCAACCACUUAAAUAUUUAAAUUUUAGUACAAAAGAAUAAACUUUUUUAUUUUAUUUAAGGAAGUACAAAGAAUAAACUUGUCAUUUUUUAUUUUUAGUUAAUUUUUUCUACCCAUUCAACUAAGUGAAGAGAAGUUUUAGUUUUUCUUUAUUUUCUAUAUAUAUUUUUCUUUUGGGUGAUAACGAUGGUAAAAUGUUGAGACUGGACUAAGUUAAAUUAGUUUGGUUCAUGGGUUUAUUAGAUUUUCGAAAUUGAAAACCAAAAAUCAAACAAGCGUGGUUUGGUUUCUUUCUAUUCGAUUUGGUUUUUUAUCGAGUCAAAAAAGGUCGGGUAAUUUUUCAGUUUUGUUUAGUUUUUUUGGAUUAAUCGAUUUUGUUUGAACCGUUUACACUCAUAUAAAUGAGUCUCGCUAAUAACUUUAUAUAAUCUAUUAAUAACGUUGGAGAGAGAGAGUUUAUAAAAUGACUUUUAUUUAUCAAAUCUACUUUUGUUUUCUCUCGGGUGUUGGUACCGGAUUUCAAAAAUCUACUUUUGUUUUCUCCUGGGUGUUGUUACUAGGUUAUAAAAUUACUCUCAUUUUUUCACCUCAUAACAAAAGAAAAACUCAUUUUGGAUUUUAAAAUCCAAAAAUCUUAAGGACAUUUUUAGAAGGAAAAAAAAAAGGACGUACAGGUAGUAGGGUGGAAAAAGUAAUAGUCUUCAUAAAAUUUGCUAAUUGUAUUAACAAAAAGGCCUAAGCCCAUAUAUUAAUCUAAGUUGUUAAACAAAAAGGCCUCAGGUGCUUCCAAAAAACAUCAAGAAUAAUUUUGGAAAAUAUUUACAAUAUACCCUUACAUUUAUACUCUCACCCCUACAUUUCUAUAAACUACUCAUUUUACCCUCGCAUGUAAAUUAAAACCCUCCAGUGUUUUCCAUUUGUUCCACAAGUUUUUUGAGAGAUUUCCUGUUUCAAAGAGGGAAAGAGAGAAUAAAUUCGGAAACACAUACCAGGAAAUAUGUUUCUAGUUUUCCUGUUUGUUUUGUUUCCCAAAACCCAGUUUUAAACAUUUUGGUUUUGCUUAUGGGUUUUUUUUUUCCUUCUUUGGAAAAAUAUUUAGAUACAUUACUGGUUUAUGUUUGGUUCUCAAAUAACUUGAUUAAUGUUUUACAAUAUACCUGGAAAAUAUAAAGAAAAUUUUCCAAUUUUGUUUAUUUUUUGUUUCAUAUUUAAAUCCAUGUUCAGGUCCAACAACCAUUUGAUGAAUCGGCAAUGCCACCGUCGAUUCCAUUUACGACCAACGAGAGAGCUUCGUAACAACAAAUUUUUCGGCGUCAUCUUAGUUUGGGUGGAUAAAGGCUCCAUACCGUUGCAGUUCAUUUGCAGCAAGUUCCAACAGUAGUAAUAGAAAAUAUAACAAACCCAUUUGCAAUUCCAUCAUAUUAUUACUUGGGUGAUGGCUGAAGAAAAAAUGCAAGAAAAGAACAAAUCAAAGAAAGGAAAAGAAUCAUAAAUAAUUAUCUCAUUUCAUUUCAUGGGUUAUUGAAUAGAAACUAUCAUAUUUGUUUGAAAAAUAAUUUUUAUAUUUUUCGAAAUCUUAGAAGGAGUCACUAAAUAAUCUUAGAAAGCGUCAUUGAAGAAUAUAGUAUUAAUCGUUAUAGCAUAUUGGAAGGGGCCAUCAAAAGUAAAUUUGUUGAUAAAACAAACAUAAACCGAAAAAAGAAUAUUUUCAAAAUGUUUAAAGAUGUCCAUAUUUUCAAGUUACAACUACACUGUAAUGUUUUAAGAUACACAAAAAUGUUAGAGCUAACACAUAAUUGUGUGUUGACGACAUUGUAGUAUAGUUGUAACUUGUAAGCCUGGUGUGGUUUAACUCUACAUCAUUUUACAUUGUUCACUUCUUUGUGUUUGUCUCAUACCAUCAUACUUCACAUUUUCUGUUUUUUCCCUUGUUUCUUUCACAACCAUAUAUAAAGGGUGAAAGAAAUCUCUAAUACACUAAAACAAUGAAAAAAAUGUAACCUUGAGUUCGAUGUAAUUCUUUAAAAAUGUAUCAAAAAUUCCAUUCCUCUCUUCUAUCUAUGUCACCAUUCGUGACUAAGUAUAUUUUCCACAAGAUAAAACAAAGUAUAUUUAAUAAUAUCCAUAAUUAACAUUCUACGUUAGUUAGAUACAAAGACAAACCUAUCGAGAACAAGACAAAUGCCGGCAAAAUUCUUACAGACAGAGUCAUACUGAUAUCUUCAAUGUUAUCAACCUUCUAUGUUUUCUACUUCUACCAUUCUUACAUUUUAAUAACACAAAACUCAUCCCUUUUAUCCACCUCAUAGAGAAAUCAGCAAUAGUGUAUCUCUCAUCAAUGGAGCGAAGGUUAGGAAGAGAGAACAAAGGGUCACUAAACCUACAAAAAAAGAUGGCAGAGACACUACGUAGGGAAGAACCACCACCUGACCUAACAGAUUUCAUGAAUGACAUGUUUUUUGGGACAGUAGACACUCACCAGAAAACCUAUGACCUCACUGGUGGGGUUGGUAUGAACAUGGAUGAUGAUGAGGAAGAUGAUGGUUUCGAUGAUAGUACUAGAAGUAACAGUGCAAGGUUAACACAAGAAUGGUUGCAAGAAGCAAGACUCGUCGUUGCUUCUUCUCCUUCACGUUGUGAAUCUCCCGGACGGCUAUUAGGUUCACCUCGCUUUGCAUCCCCGUCGAAGUCUUCCCUUCCAUCUUCUGAUCGAACAGAUGCUCUUUCUAGGACUAGGUCCGCCAGAAGGUAACAUUUUAAUUUAUUUCAUACUACUACUACAUAAGGAACAUAAACUUCAUCAAAACAUAAGAAAAUAAAAUUUAAUUAUUAGUAAAUGUUUAGUUUCAUGCAUAAAGAAUCUGGUCGAAAUACAUAUUAGAAUCUAGAUAUUAACCUCUAAUAUCAUUAUUUUGCGAAUGUAAGGGUCUUUUUACUAGUUAAAAUUAGAAAUCAGCUUAAUUGUUCAUGUCAAUAUUUCAGUGCACAAUUAACUUUUUGUAACCAAGAUCAAAGUGAAAAACCCUUAAACAAGUUUCAUUGUAUAAUCUGAUGCAGAUACAGAACAGCAGAAGGAAUCAGUGAUGAGAUACUAUCAAAAACAGCAAAACACACCCGCAACAAAUCAGACACAUUUGCACAACCUUCAUCAGAUGGGGAUGGAUCUCCUGCAACUGCAGUACACAAAUGGUUUUCCAACAUCCUCAAACCCAACAAUAACAAUAACAAUAACAAUAACAAUAGCCCAAGUAACACGCCACCACCUUCUCCAGAUUCUCUCCCUCCGCGUCAGCCACAUCCUCGAAAAUCCCGCUUCCAAUCUUCACCCUCUCCUGCACCUCAGCCACAGGGAAUCCAAGCUCCUAAUUAUAACUCCAGAAGAACUUUCAAGCCUUCUGCACUGUCUGAACCGUUGCCGGAGAAUACAAGCCGGCGAACACCACAUAGUGAGGAUUCUUUACCUCUGUCACCACCGAGGAACCUCGUGGAAUCUGCUCACCGGAGAACGAUAUCUUCUUCCACGUGUUCGUGGGAGAAGAUAGCUCCGGUGAAGAAUUUUGUGAAGGAAGAAGAAGAAACUACGGAGGAGUAUAGUCUUAAUGGGUUUUUGAAAGAGCAGAGGAAUUUGUUUCAGAGAUUCUCGAAGGGAGAGCUUCAUACAAAUGUCGAAAUCAAAAUUGUGCUUUCUGGGCAUUUAAACAGUUAGUGAAAAACUUGAAUGCAUGUUUUCUAUCAUGCUAAAUUUGUCGGAAUCACUGUGAGCAUUAUAAUUUUCAAAAGCUACGGUAGCUCACUGUGAUUUUGAUAAACUCACGUGAGACCAAACAUGGACUGAAUUUGUUUUGUUGAUUUGAUUUUGGGAGUGUUGGAAAGUGUGGAAUUUAUUUGUAUGUGGUGCAGGUACGGCGUCGAUGGUGGCUGCUAUUUGCCAUGCAUGGCUAUUGGGUUAUAGACAGAAAGAGAAUGAUGGUGGUGGAAAAGAGAGGACAGUGGUGGUGCCUGUGAUGAAUGUGAAGAGAAGUGAUAUGUGUAAGCUUAAGCAAGCUGCAUGGUUGUUUCAUCAUGCUGGUCUUGAUGCUACUUCAUUGCUCUUCACUGAUGAGGUCACAUUUCUUCUAUUCUUUUCCUUUUUAUAGUCAAAUGUUAGUUUUUAGAGUAAAGUUUUAAUUUGUUCUAUAAAUAAAAUUUGGCGGACCAAUUUAGUCUCCGAGAAGAAAUAAUACCAAACUAGUCAUUGACAUUUUCAAAUUGAAGAUAAAUAAGUCCUCUUGUAUAAUGAGUUCAGGACUAAUUUAUCCCCAGUUUGAAAAUAUCAAGGACUACUUUAAUGUUUUUUUAAGUAAUGGAUUAAACUAGGCCGUGAUAAAAUUGUGAGAGACUAAAUUGUGUCUUUACUCUAGUUUUUUUGACACACAAUGACACAUAAACAUUAGUAAUCAAUUUAAGAAAAUAGCAGUAAUUGAAUGUAAUCACAUGUGUUGUUGUACACCAAUUCCGUCGGACACGAACAUAUUUUCAAUCUGAAGUGGACCAUAUAGGAUUUUAGUAUGUUAUGUUAAUAGUCGGAAUUUGAAUCAUAUAUCUCUUUAUCGAACUAUUUCAAACUUCUUAGUUCAUCUCCUUGAGCUUUGCCUUGAUGACUUUUUUUGUGUCCAUUUGUUAUUGCCUUCAAACAUGGUUUUGUAAUUUGUUGGAAUAAAAACAGAAAUUAUUAACUCAUGAUCACUUGAAAAAAAUUUAUGGACAUUGUAAAUAAUUUAGCAGGCUUAUACUUAGUUUGCUGAUAUAGUGUUGAAGAUUGCUUUACAGGUGGACAUGGAAAGCCUUUUGGUGACUGGUAAACUGAGCGUCCUCAUGGUUGGACAAGACGUCUUAAGCGCGACUAACGAGGUUGGUUCAAAUGAAUAAUUGAUGAAUGUGAACAUUGGUUUUAAAAAUAAGUUUGAUGCCAAGGCAAUGUGCUACGUGCAUUAUGAUUAAUUUUAUUGCCCAAUUUAUUCUCAGGUUGGAUCUCAAUGCACCGUUCUCACAGAUAAUUACUGUGAGGAUGCAUAUGAUCUACUUCAGAACUCUGUGCUGAAGAAACUAUUGGUAAAUUCAUCGCAUUCUUAGAUAAUUUCUCGAUAAGUACUUUUGGUAUAAUUCUUAGGAUAUUACUCUAUGCUUAUAUGUUAUUUUUCAGCUUGCUGGUAUUCUGCUAGAUACACAGAAUCUAAAAGCUUCGGCUGCAGUAUCGAUGACAAGAGAUGCAGAGGCAGUCCAGCUGCUUUUGGUUGGCUUAGCCCCAAACUACAGAUAUGCUUUAUUUGAUCAGUGUAAGAUUUAUGUUUCCCCACACAUUGAAAUUGAGAAGUUAUUGAUAAUAUUCAAGUUCAAUGUAUUAACUUGUUGUGUUUCUUGAAGUGAUGCAAGACCAACAAUCUUCUUCUUUUGUCGAAGCUUUGAACCAUAACUAUUGGAAGAUCCCUGAUGAAAGUAAGUAUCUAUGCCUAUAAUCUAUGCCAAUUUCUCCAUAUACAUGUUGCGACAUAAUCCAGUUCAUGCUAAGUAUAGAAUAACAAGUGUCUAUUCGGUUUGUGACGGUUAGUGAAGUCUGUCACUUCUGUUAUAAAUACUCGAUGAAAUCAUUUCCAAUUACAACAAUUAGUGUGAGUGGUUUCAUUAUACUUGGAGAUAACUCCAAUCUCUAGCAAUGCAUACUAUUAGCUACUUUUAUAAAUUGCAAAGGAAAAUGAUAAAAGGCACGACAAAAUUUUCGUGCCUAAUUGCACGAAUUAUUCCUCUCAGUAAUUAAUCUUGUCAAACAGUAAUGCUUUGGCAUUUGGCACUUGAUCUCAUGAUGAUUUAUGUUUAACUAAGCAGAUUCACCAAAUAAAACAUGAAUUCGGAGCAUCUUAAGGGUUGUAAUGCUUUUAUCGGUGCAACAUUGACAGGGAAGAUGAUGGUGCUACUACCGACAACAAUUUUAUAUUAUCUUAGUUUAUUAUAUUAUAUUUUAUAUAUCUUAGUUCAUCUUUAUCUUAUAAAUCCAUAAACCAACUAGAAGAAGGUCAUUCACCAAACAAAGUGUGUGUUUUGAGCAUGUCGUGCAUGAGUCGCGCAUUAAAUCUCUCGUACCAUAUAGCAACGUUCAAUUGCAAAAAUGCAAGAACCAUGACCUUGUCUUCAACCACGUUCCUUUAAAUCUUUUCUGGUGAAGUUGUUACUGAAAUUGCAAAAGGAAACUUUUUCUGAUAAGCUCUGUGUCCUAAAAUCUCUUGUGAUCCUAUACAUUUUUGUGUGUUCUGAUAGGCUGAGUGGAUUAAGGCGAGACUCUUUCAUUUGAAGGAAUUUAUAUGGAAAGUAUAAAAAGGUGGAUGUGUUCUUAUUAAUCUUUAAGAACCCUCCGCUGAUUAAAUUUCUUCGUGGAUAACUAUUUCGAGAAGUCAGUCCCCUCAAAGGUAGAUUAGUCUAUUAGAUGGGAAACUCAUUUUCUAAUAAGCCUCACUUUUUAGGAGUCUCCCCAAUGUUGAACUCCUAACAAUGUUUUUUUCUUCCUGAUUAGCGAACUCCUAACAAUGUACUACUCUACGAGAGCUGAUUUCCUUAGGGGCUUUCAUUCCGCGACACUUCACUCAACAUUAUCCGCUCAAAAUCCUUCAUGAGUAGCCAUUUUUGAGAAGUCAAUCUUCUUAACGAAAACAUCAAAUGUUACAAGCAUAAGCUUAAACAAAGAAUCAAAUCCAAAAGACUAAUCUAUUAGAUAGAAUGACUCAAUACUCAUUGCACAUUGGCUUAUAAGCCUCCUUUUUUAUGUGAGACUGUCCAACGUUGAACUCCUAACAACCUCCUAGUUUUCAAUUGGGAAAACAUUAAAUCGAACACAGCAUUUCAUUACCAAGGAUUUGUAACUUUAUUUUGUUAAAGGAACCAAAGGUAAAUGCAUCAAGAACACUACAGAAUGUUACUCUAUAUUAUCAAGAAAACAAUUUUAUGUAGAAUUGAACAUUAUGACAUGGUCACAAUUUCUUUCCUUUAUUCUUUGUACUCGCAGGUGACCAAAAUAGUGAAGGAAAUAUGGAGCAUAAAGUUCGCGACAGAAAGUCAAGCUCUACAUCUGACCGAGAAACUACCAAUGCAAGUUCAAAAACAAAUUCCACGGACGCAAAAGGUAUGUUUUGAACUUAUGAUUUGGUUAAUAGGUUCCAUUUAAAAUAUUCUUUGUAAGUCUUUGUUACCUUGUUUUGCAAUUAUAAAUGUGGUAACACAACACUUAUCCUUGCAGUAAAACUUGCUACGCCAAUUUUGCAAUCUCCUAGUCCAGGAGUAUCAUCAAAUGCAGAAAAGGAAGCCUCUCGUGGGAAAAACAAGUUCUUCUUGGCAAGGUGGUUUGGAUUUGGUUCAAAAUGACAACUUAUUUUUGCAAAAUUCAAAGAAAAAAAUAAUAACAAUUCAUACCAGAACCCGUUUGAAAUGUCGCUUCUUUCCCGUUGAUGAUUGUUCUUGAAGAUAUACGAGUCUCAAUAGGAUUUGGAUUCCACGCAAUAACUGUGUUACGCAAUGAGUCUCAAUAGGAUUUGGACUCUACACAAUAACAAUGUGACGCAGUUAUUGAUUUUGACCGCCCGAUACCGAUUGUAUAUGUAAGUUUACAUGGCCAUUGUCACUUUUCUGGUUAAUUAUUAAAUUAAAUUAUUAUUAUGAUAUUGGUGAUGAAGAAUGCAUAUGGGCCUACCAACUAUUUUUCUUUGAGAAAUCAGCCUCUGUCGCAUUUUUCUGGAUCUUUCAAGCUGCCUCAUUAAUAUUGUUUUUGACGUUGAUGUAGAUCAAUUAUCUCCCUAUGCUCAAAAUUGCUUCAACUGCUACAAAAAAAAAAAAAAAAGAUAAAUUUUGUUGUUUAUGUCUUACUUAUUUCUUAUGAGUUUGACCUCCCAUCUACAAAAUCUGAUAUUAUUAAUUAUGUGCGGCAAAUGCUGCUGUCACUCUAAUGUACAGUUUAUGGUUGGUGCAUGCAUCGUUUUGUAUCUAAAAAAAUUCACUUUUGCAUGUAGCAUUCAAUUGUACAGCAUGAAAUGUUAGAAGAUAAGAAUAUUGUUUUUAAGCUGGCCUAUCACAUGAACUGAAUACUAUAACCUUGGACCAAAAACAGUGUCAUAUAUUUGGGCUUAACUAACUGGUGUCCAUCUAAUGCGCAUUUUUUUUUUUUAUCAAGUGACAAGUAGUUUAGUGGCUAGAAAUUUAACUUUUAAAAUAAAUAAGUGGGAAGUCCGGAGUUCGAACCUCGAUUCCUACAUAUAUAAUGCAAUGCUCUUACUAAUUGAGUUAAGUUCACGGUGUUCAUCUAAUGGAUCCACUCUAUCAAAACUCAAAAAAGGAGUUUCUUUUCUAGUAUUUGUUCAAUCUGAAAUAUACUCCCAGAUACUAGUGUGAUUUUUUAAAUAUUAAGGGAAGCUCCCGCGAAAAUGAUUUCCCCUACUAGCUAGUUGGUGGAAUUUAGAUUGUGAGUAUAUUGGUGACCGUUGAAUCGAAAUUUGACGGUUUAGAUUUCAUGUUCCGUAUUUUGAUUUUAAAAAUUUUGCAUUGAAAUAUAAACUAUCUGAUUUUUGAUUCAAUGACCAUAAAUAUGUUGACCUCAUCAACGAGGGGACCGUCAAGAGAAGGCAAUCCGGAUUCUAGUUGGUGAGGCUUAACAAAAAAUUUCAUACCUAAUGUAUUUUAGAUAAUUAAAUUUGGAUCGGUUCGAUUAGAUAACUUAAAAAAAUGAAAUUUACUUAUUUUAAAAUUUAGUUUGUUAAAAUUUUCAAUCGAAAAUAGGUUUCACGUAAAUCAACUCUUUUUUUCCUUGACCAGAUUAAAAUAUUGUUGUCAGUCCAUCUUAUGGAUUUGGUAGUAUUUUUAUUUAUAUAUCUCUAAAACUAUAUUAUUUUCUUAAUUUUUUGGACAAAGUUCAAGUGUGGAUGAAAUGUGAGAAAUCAAUCUAAUAGUGAUGACAUGGAUGACUACAGUGAUUCCAUGAAGUCACUGAAUGCACCCAAUCCAAGUCCCCAUGCUACCUUGGACCAUUCUUACAUUUUUUAAGUUUGGAGCAUUUUAAACUUUCUAAUGUGUCAAAAGAAGAAAAAAAAACUAUAGCUUUAAGUUUGGAGCAUUAUAAACUAUAACUUUUUAACAUUAUGGACCUAGGCAGCUAAGCAAUAAUGUUGACAACUAUAUAGAUAAUCCAACUACUAGUAGAAAGAAAUUAUUAAUAUGCAUUGAGGUGCACAUACAUGUAUUGUUGCAUUUUUAUUUCUACAUCAUCACCAAACACCAUUCCUCUCUUCCCGGGCAAUACAAUUUUCCGCCACAUGCAUCAACAUUUUACACGCAAAUACAGACAUUCACAUCACAAUAAUACUAAUCUACUGUCUAUAUUUCUGUGAUGAUUCAAAAUUUAAUUUACACUAUACCUCGGUUUGAAGAAAUUAAAGUACAUUUAUAGCUCAAUUACCAAGAUUAGAUCAACAUAGAACAUUUCCAAUUUGUGCAAAGUGUAGGUGUGGACUUAGAAUAGAUAGCUCCAUAUGGAGAAUUAUUAAGCAUGUGAUACUAUCUAUCUUGUUGUGCAAUUAUGCGUAUUUGCUCAAUACCAGCUGUAACUAACUCCCAAACCCAUUUUGGCCCCACUUGCUAUCAGUCAAUGCUUCCUCACUCACCAUUCCAUUAUUUCUCCAUCAUUUGGUGUCCCAUUUCAUUUUCCAACUUUAUUUUGCCGGCUUUGAUAGUGAGUAUUGAGUACUUCAAAUCGGGUUUGGAUCGGGUGCGGUGCGACUACAUGCAGUUACAUGCAUUUCAGUCGUUUAAUCAUUGGACGGUUUAUAUUAUAAGCCGUUCAAUCUUCAUUAGACUAUUGAAAUACAUGUGACUGCAUGCACAUGUCUUCUGACUGCAUACGAUCCUUGAAAUGACUUUUUUCAUUCAACCUUCCAAGCAUAAAGAAACAAGCAAAACUCUGAUGAACCACUUACACUAAAUCCCUCCACUGAUUCACAAUUCCUUGCUUGAAUUGAUAAUGGAGAAGAUGAAGAAGAUGAAAUAGUAGAUGACAAAAUUGGCUUAAAAAUAAACAAAGCAUGUUUCAAACCAGGACUAAAUAACCAAUCAUGAACAUCCCAAUAAACUUCAAUUCUCAUUUUACUAAGAUGAACUGAUUCAUUACCUCUAAACUUCCAUUGCAAAUGCUUCACAUGAAUCACCAAAUGUCCAUCAAUUCUUAUCUCCAUCUCUGGCUGAACUGAUCCAACAAUAACAGAAUCGCCACCACCAUUUCCUCUAUUCUUGCAUUCAAUAGAAAUCUCAUGCCAUUUACCCUUCUCAUGAAACUUAGCUCUGGUUGAGAAUUUCUUCUUACCAAAUAUAUGCUCUUUCUUUGAAACCAAUAUAGGAUCAAUAAGAGCUGGUCUACAACCUGUUCUUCUAUAAGCAUCUUUUUUAAGAUCACCAAGAAGAAGAACAACCUCUUCAUCACAAACAACAGCUACAUAGUAUUCUGAAGUUGGUUCUGUUUCUCCGUUGAAUUUAGCAGCUUUAAGGUCCCAGAAAAUGUCAACAGCUUUGUUUCCAUCAACUAUAAACCGUUUUGAACCUUGUUUUCUCCAAAAAUACCAUGGCUUUAGUUCAACUUUGCAGGUAUAUUGGGCUUCUCCUUCUGGACCUUCUACUGAUAUUGAUAGUCCAUGAAGCAACAAGUUUUUGCACCAUGUGAUGGUUAUCAAACGGCAAUGAUCAGCUACCUUUGUUCUGUAUACUGACAUGUAUACACUCUGACCGGAACGUGUCACACCGCCUCCAUGAUCAUCGGUUAGCUUAUCUGCUGGUGAAAAGCAUGUAGGAAUACCAAUUGAGUCUUGCAUCGUCGUGAUCUUUGAUAUUGCAGAGAAUUACAAUCAAUAUAUAAUAAAAAAUAAAAAAAAAUAAAAAAUAAAAAUUGAUGGAGCGACUCAGGUUGCGAAAACAGCCUAAUUUUUUAAAAAUUAGGUAAAGAUACUGUAGAGAAUUGCGAUCAAGUGUGACUGAUAUCUUAAUCGCGGUUGAAUAUACACGGAGAUAUCAAAAACCUUGAUGUCGCGACUCUGGUUGCCAUAGAGGCUAGAGUUGAAUAGGGCAAUAUAGUAGAGAUGAGAAGUGGAAAAUGAGAGAGGAGAAUAGACUUGUUGGGAAUUUUAACAAGUACUUGUGAAGAGGGUGAGAGGGUGAGAGAUCUUAGUCACAAGGUGAAUGAAUGAUAGAUGGUGCCAGAUGUGAUUUUGGAAGCAUUAUUAAGUAAAUAAUUAAUUGGAAUUAAAAACAAUAAUUUUCCAAACUGGCAUAUGGAUGGCAGUGAGUGAGAGUGAGUGAUAGAACAAAUCUUUUUAUAAUACUACUAUGCAUUUCUUUAUCUAAUAUCACUCAUUUAGUUGAGACCUAUUUUAAUAUUUUUUUUGUUGGGGGUUAAAAUUUACCUUUUUAAGUUGAAACUUUAAUCUGUACUAACUUUUUGGAAUCCAAGGUUGCUUUAUUUAUGUAUACUAUAUUCAAAAGUGGUUACUUCCAGGCAGUUUGAUGCAGAGAAGCCAUUUUUCAUCAGAUUUGGUGUAUAGAUUUUCACAAAUUUAGGAAUCAUAUUUAUUCAUAACAUCACAUGAUAUGGUCAAAAAUAACCGGUCAAAACUGUUAGGGAAAAAAUAUCAACUGUAGUUGUGAGGGUUAGCUUUCCAAUGCUAGGUGCCAUCAUAUUUUCCUCCUUGUUUGAAAGUAUCUUGUUAAUUCAUUGCAUGUGACUUUUCAAUUAAUGAUAACUUCUAAUCGCACUUUGGUAACAUUGAAGUGUCAAUGUCAUGUGACAUUAGUCAAUCACAAUGUCACAGGUGUGUAAAAAGAUAAAAAAAUGCUUGUUAAUAAGAGAAGAAAGUCAUGAUUUUUUAUCAUUUUUCACACUUGUGACAUUGUGGUUGAUCAAUGUCAGAUGACAUUGGCACCCUAAUGUCACUAAAGUGCUACUCUAAAGAAAGUCUUAAAAUUAAAAAAAUGUGCAACGAGUUUUAUCUAGGAGGAGAAUGAUGUGACAUAAGAAUCAUAAAUUACUUUUUUUUUUUAAGGAGAACCAUAAGUUACUUAAUGAAGCUAUCCAUCCUAAACAAUAUCUUAUAUAAAUUGUGGAAUCCAUCAUAGAUUCUUAAAAGAUUGAACUAAUAGAGUACAAUUAUAAUGAAUUGCUUUAAAGUGAUGUAACAUUGUGAGCUCUACGUUAUCGACAAUGGGUAGCAACAGUUGCACUAUUUGAGGCGUUUCAAGUACCAAAUUUCGAUUUUUGUUAUCAUUUUAUAAAUUGACAGAAAUUAGAGUUGCACUAGCAAAGUGGGACGACAAAGCACUUCAGGUGAUCAAUCUUCAAGUGAAGUACUUAACUUGAAUAUAGGGUUGGUUGGAGCGUUGAAUGGCCAAGGAUAGUAAGAAUAGCCCAUUUGUAAAUUGAUACAUCAAUUCUUUAUUGUUUAUCUUACUUUUUAGGGCAAAUUCUAUUGUGCAGAAUUGAGAUGUGAUGUAAUUUAUUGAUCUAAUGGUGAAAAGGAUACUUGUGCAUGAUGCAAGAUCAUUUUACUUGUGUAUGUUAGACAAAACCUAUCUUUAAAUUAAAGUUUGCAAAUUUCUUUCAACAUUCCCUUUUUUCAUUUUUAUCUAAUAUUUAGUUUAUGAAGUUAAAUCAUAUAAUUUUUGGAAGUUUUUAUCCCACAUUUUCACUUCAAAGGAAGAUAUAUGAAUCCAUUAGUCUAUCGACUUUUGAAGUUAGCAAUGAUUACCCGUCGCCACAUCAACCGUUGAACAAACAUUUUCUGCUAUGAAUAAGUAAAGACUAGAUUGCGUAAUAAAAUGGGAGAUGAUUGCAUGAAUGAUUGUCCCGUAACUUAUAUUGAGAGAGAUAUGGCCGACAAAAUUGAUGAUGAGUUGAUUAUUCAACGAUUUCAGAACAUGACACCCCGUCGGGGACAUUUGCAAAGAAUAGAUGGAGUUUUUUUAGUACAUUGUAAAAAAAAAAUUGAUCAAGCGAGUACAUUGCAAAUUGAAUAUAAUGUAAUUUUUUUAAUAUAUAUUAUUAUAAUUAUUAUAAAUUGAAGUUUAAAAAUUUGAACCCCCUGACCCAAGAUUCUGGCAACGCCACUGGAUUUGGAUCCCUUAUAAUUGGAUCUUUUAACUUUAUGUAACUUUAAGAUUAGAGAGAAGAGAGCGUUAGAUAAAUAUGGAGUGAAAAAUAUGAGAUGAAAGAGAUAGGAAAAAAGUCGUUUAACUUUUGAAGUUAGAGAACUCUCACCCAUGAGUUGCAGAAAGCGACUCGCAAACUAUAUAGUUGCAAUUUUAAAUCUGGUAUUAUAGUUGAAUAGUUGAUUAGAAAGACAAAUUUUGACUCCAUAGAUUCGUGGUUCAAGUCUCACUAGUAUUUUUGGAGGGAGAUGAUUAUAAAUAUAUUGUAAAUGUUGUUUAAAUCUUAAAAUCUUAUGUGUCUUUGGUUGGAGCAUCAUCCUCUUGCACUAAAUUAUUUUUAUCAAAAAUUAUAAUAGUAACUGCAUUUGACCUUUGUGAUUUAAUUAGGUAAUGUAGCUACCUGAAUUGGGUGUCCACAUACUUUUGUUAAAAAAUACGUCCACAUAUAAUUGGAUAGCAUUCCAACUGUCUGAUACCAUACCUAACUAAGCUCACACUCGAUUCUCACCCAAAAGUUGAAACAAGACAUAAUCUUAUAUAAAUUCUUGUUUAGUAUUUCUCUAAAAUAACAUUAAUCAAAAGAAAUAAAGAAAAAAUAUAACGGUGUAGUUGUGUCAGGAUUGAGGGCGUCAUUGAUGGUCAACAUUUUUUCAUGUGAAUGGAAAUAAACCUCUUAAAAAUAUUACUUUUUUUUCUGAAAUCAAAAGCUUGAAAAUCUUUUUUAUUAUGAAUUGAUGAAAAUGUUUUUUAUUUGAUACAAAUCAAGUGGGAAAAUUGCCUCAAAAGAAGUUCAAGAACGAAAAUGAAAAUGAAAAACAAAAGUAAUAAAAUGCGAGUCACGGGAAGCUUGGCUUGGUACACUAAUUCUAAAACUAAACUAGCUAGUACAUACCUAUCAUCAGUGCCAGUGGUCUAUGAAUAGACCUUAGAACGUGUUUAAUCACAAACCGUUGUGUUAGAUUUUGUCAAAAAAAGAAAACGUUGUAUGAGAUAGGAAUAAUUAAGAUUCUCCGUUGUCUUGGUUUUUUUGGUGUUACUGUUGCAAUAAUAUUAAUAGUGCUUACCUGUACCAUUAAGGGUGAUUUGCUAGUUUUAACUUCUAGCCUUAAUUAUUGCUACCGCCUCCGUCUCAUUUGAGACAUGUUUAGCAUGCUUAUGGGACAAUUAGACCAUCUACAACAUAGCAUUUUAUUUUAGGUGUUUAAGUGAAUCAUGUAUAUACACAUAUCUAUUUUAUGAUUUUCAAUGAUAUUACUUAAUAAGCAAUCAAUCUCUCUAACCCAGCACCUUAGCAAAAGUUACUGAAUUUGAUCUGUUAAUAACUCAAUGUCAUUGUAUUUUAAAAAAGUUUAUUGAUUUAUGUACAUUUUAUUACGCAUGAUCCACAAAGAUUAAAGAGAGGGUGCUUACAUGGCCACCCUUCUCUAUAAACACCAAACAUUUCUCUCCACAACGGGAUGCUUAUUUAUUCAGGUGCUAAAUAGGUGAAGCACCCACCAUUGUGGAUGCUCUUAUAAUAAAAUAGUGUAUCAAUUUUUUUUCCGCGAUGAAUAAUUCUCUAUUGGGAAAAACCUAAGUCCCACAUCGGUAGAUAAGAGUUUAUAAAUAAGAGACACUCCUUAACUUAUGAACCGAUUUUGUAAGGAUGAGUUAAACCUCAAUUUGAACGUAGUUAUCUUUUGCACUACAAUCAAACUAAAUGAUCAUUUUGUUUUUAUGAAAUUGUAACAGUUUAGCAUUUCAGUCAUCUAAAUUUGCAUAAUAGAAAUUUAAUUUCUUUAUACUAAGUAGAUAAGAAAUUCAAAUUGUUAUAUAAGUAUAACUCAAUAGGAAGAAGUGGUACAAUUGCUCACUUCUUUACAUAUUAUAUGUGAGUUUCUUGAUUUCAUUGUUAGGCUCUUAAAACUAAAAAAAUAUUCAAAGCAAAAUGGAUAAGAAAAGACAUAAAAGCUAAGUAGCUAUUAUAUGGCCAAUAUCUGUACUUCUUAUGAUUCAUGACUCAUGAGUAGGGAAUGAUAGACAUUUUCAUCUUACAAAAAAGUCUUGCUCUAGCAUCUGCAAACCACAUGCUAACCAAAUAUGCAACAUUAUAAACUGUAAAGUAAAAGUGAACAGCAAUGUGUUCCAUAAUGUUAUGGGCCACGCUAUACGUCUUGAAUUUGCAUGUCCAGCCUGGUUUGUUAAGGGCUCAGGCUAUUCUUUGACACAAGUAAGAAAAAAGACACACAUGCUUGGCCACACACACUAUCUUCAUUGUCUCUACUCUAGACACACACUGCGUGCUUCUUCUACCAAAUUUCUAUAAUAUAGUAGCUAAUCAGUCUCUUUCUUUUCUGGCAAGCUUAGUUAAAGAUGACAUGAUCAAAAGCUAGACAUCAAAGAUAUAUGACACUAGUUAAAUAUAAUAUUGUAGUGCAAUGUAAUCUUGUGUUUGGAUUAUCUAUAAUGGGUCGUCUUUUUGCUAGUAAGUAUAAUGUUUUUAUUUUAUUUUUAAGAAGUUAAAUUAGUCCACUUAAAUUGAUAUCGAGGUGAAUCGAACCUGAGACCUUGAGAAUGAGCACACUUCAAGUUCUCAAGUCAACACCACCAGACCAACUUAAGUGGGUCGUAUAAUGUUAUUUUUAAAAUUCAAUUUUGAUGAUUCUAGAUAUAAAAUAUAGAACUAUUUAGUUUAUAAAUACGUAGAUAUUAAUUCUAAUUUUAACAAACAUGAAUCUCAUCUUCGACCAUGAUACAUUAAGAUGAAUCCCAAAUGAUUACCUAAACUUAGUCUAAUGAGCCCCGUCGUCAAUUUUUUAUAGUCAAGCACAUUUUGUCAUUUGAUUUAUAACUAAAAUCUUAUUAUUUUAAGGUUAGUUGGUGAUAUAUUAAAUUGGAAUUUUGUAUUGUCGAAUAGUUUCUCUUAUAGGGGAAGACCUUAAAAACUAUAAGAGAAACAGCUAAUAAGGAUCUAGAUAUUAGUGUUUUUAAUAAAAUAUUAUGGCGUUGUUUGAUUCAUGUUGUUGCUUCUUUUUCCUUAAAAAGAAUCAGAAUCAUAAGAUUUUAUAAUGACUGAAAACCAAUUUGGUAUACAAAAACACUCUCAUUUGGAUCAUUUUACAAAUAUCACAUUAAAAAGCAAUACAAUCCUUUCCUUAAAAAAGAAUAAAGAAACAGGUUUUUUUUUUUACUAGAAUAACACAUCUUAUUUGAAAGCAAUACAAUACCCUAAAGAAAGAAGUAUUCCUACAUAUUACUGCAGCAAAAUCUGAACCGAUACCUACAAGUUUUUCUGGUAAUAAAUUCUAUAAAGCAUGUCAGUAGUUUAUGUUAUAUUGUUCCAAUAAAAUCAAUAAAGUCAUUCAAUUGUUCUCUCGUGGUUGAAAAUGUAUCGAGCUCGAUGAUGAUUUUUUCCAACCACAUAUGAUGCAUGAUGCUAAAAUUUUAAAGAUAUUGCACCAUGCAUCAUAUUCUAUUCAUUCAUGACUUAUGUGACUGUAAAUUAAUCAUCAUCGAGCGGAAUACAUUUCAUACACCAUAAUUGUUGCCGCAUUCGGAGUGGUUUUCCUGAAUUCUAUGAUACUUAUCAUCAACCGUUUUAUCAUAUUCAAAUUUUACAUGUUUUAAACCUAACUCUAUUGGCCACUUUAUAGCCAAUAAUAGACCUAAAUCUUCUCCUUUAUGUACCAGAACCUUGAGCAACUGUCAUAGUGCACUAGCUCUGAAAAAAUGUCCAAAUACAAAUUGCAUUGCCCAUAGUACUACUGGGAUUAAAUCUUGGUUGUUUUAGAAACUUUAAGAAUGGAUAGAACCAAAUGAAUAUGACACAGUAGUGCUAAAUUGAUAUGAAUUCGAUCGGUAUAACCUUUUCUCUAUAAUUUGUCUCCAGAUAAAGGAGAAACGCCUUACUAGUGAAGUAGAUAUUAAAAAAUUCUAUGAAGUUAUCUGAAAGAUCAACUUUAAUUAAUAGAAUGGUCUGAAAUACAUGUGAAAUACAUAUGGCAUCAACAUAACUAUUGCUUAUACUAAUCAGUAAUCACACCCUACACCGAUGCACCGCAAUAAAACCCAGUGCCUCUUGGACCAGCAUCAUAAUACAUGGGCUAUCUGAAUAUGUAAGAAGCUGCUACUAAUUCAUUCAUGACUUAUGUGACUAAAUUAAAUUCUAUUCUAAGAAUAGUUUUCCUCGAAUAUGGUUGAUAACAUCAACUUUUGAACAAAAGUUGCUCUCAACCAUUGUUCUUGUUCGUCCUGCUCAACACCAUCAGUCCCAGACCUGCAGAGACAAAACCAGCAUACAAGAUUACAUCUUAAUAUCGGAAAAUGAGAAUCUGAAAAACUUAAACACAGGCUAGAAAUUUUUAAUCGUGACGACGUCAGGAUUGGAGUUUGAUUCAAACUGUUAAGAGUCUAAAACUUCUUAAUUGGUGGUUCAACACUCAACUAUAAUCUGCAAGGCUCCAAAUAGGAACUUCUAUGCUAGAAAUAUUUAAUAUAUUCCUAUCAAAAGGAUAAUAUUUUAAGGAUUUAGUCUUUUCUUCACAUUGAUAGCCAGGUAAUUCUGAUACGAGGAAUGAUACGUUUAUGCGAAGCAAAUUAAACAUCCUAAAAUAACUAAGAAAAACUAUCACGGCGUAGUCCUUCAAACUGCAAAUAUAAUUAUCAUCAUCAUAGGUUAGUUGGCAAGGUAGAAAGCAAAUCUUCCAAGAAACCAUCAGAACCAAACCUCAUAGCAAAUACAAGCUAGCUGCAUAAGUGCAUAUAAUGCACAUGUGCAUAACUGGCAUGCUUUGUAUGUGAUGCAUUCUACGAUAUAAGCUUCUCAAGGUUUCUCUUGUUAUGCCAACUCACCACCACUUCAAAAUCUCUAGGAGAAAAAGAACCGUACCUUUUUGCAUUAUGAAUUUCUAUAUCCUUGUUGCUGAGGCUGGAGUUUUCAUCUGGAUGGUUAUUGUUAUAGUUAGGAAUUGGUACAUUGCAGAUGAAUGGUGACAAAAGUGGAUCAGGUAUCGAUUCUUGUUUGUUUCCCCUAGCAGCUAGUUUCUUGCCAAACAUUGCUGAGUUACCAGACCAGAUGCUAGAUUUCUCAGUCUUCCACCCCCACUGUAUAAAAAAAAUAAAAAAAUACAUUGAAUUAAGUCAGACAAUAAAGAAAUGCCAUAAAGUCAAAACAUAUGCAGGAUUACGUUUUAGUACACAAGAAUUAUGAGAUAAGCAAAAUAUACCUUUCGCGAGCUUGAAUGUGUAAAUUGUGUGAAUGCAUUGUUCCCUAAAUUUUCUUCACACACAGGACAAACCUGACGUACAAAAAAUAUGAUCAGAUAUAUUAAACAUUGCUUACUUGCAUAAAAUGUAUGGAAAACAGAUUACAACAAAAAUUACUGCCGGACCAAAAUUUAUGGAAACAGAAAAAAAGGUUAUACCACAUUUUUUGGGGAAGAGCAAUACUCCUCUUCAAAAUCACUGCAGAGAGGAACUUGAAUUUCAAAAUCACAAAAAGGACAUCGGAAAUCAGAUUGGUAGUCGUCAUCCACGUCUGUGUAACGAAUUACUGAGUAAUUUUCUGUGGUAUGAAUGGGAUCAUUGUUAGAGAGCUUUUGCAGCACAAGCACAAUGAUUCUAUAUAGCAUGACAUACAAAAAUUUCUCAAAAUGAUUAAAGCGAUAGGAAAUAUAAAUUAUACACACAUAAUAUGCAGAUACGGCAUUACAAGUUCACAAAAUACCAACAAGAAUGAUAAACACAAUGGAAGGCUCACUUAUGCUCUUUAAAAUCUUCCAAAAAUGUCAAAUUUAUGACAAUCAUAAGCAAAAAUGGAACUUAGUCAUAUUAUUAAUUAAACAAAGUAAAAUACCAGUAAACAUUAAACAUGAAUCUUGUAGAUGUAGUUCAAGCAUGCAUAUGAAAAUUGGUAAUUCAGGACCUCAAGUCAAUAUCCUAUAAAUUUGACUUUAUGUAUAAAGCGCAGACAUCUUUAACUUAUACUUCAAGUAGAAUUAGGCAGUGUUUAGAUACACAAUUUAAGUAAGCUUUAUAGCACAAGUGCUUAUUGUAGAACCUUUCUUUUAUAAAAUGAGCACGGUACAACUGCAAAGGCACCAUUAUGAGUUAACUUACAACUCGACUUUUUUGCCAAAACAAAUUAAACUUGCAUCUCAACUAUGUUGGUACCCAUUACCCAAGAAACUAUGUAACUUAAAGCCUGAUUUUUUUUUUCAAGAAUGGAAUAAAGACAUGAUAUUUGUAACAAUAUAUAGAUACAAUUAGUUAGUUAGAGUUUGUUGAUAGUUAGUUAGUUGGUUAAUACUCAAUUAGCUCUAAAGUUCAUUCAUAUUGAAAAGGAAUCUUUUCAAUAUGAUUCCUUUUGAGAAUUCUCUCUCACUUUCAAGCUCUCAGGCUUCUAAAUUCAAUGUCAUUCAGAUUUUUAAGAAUUUCAUCAAUUAUAAACACUUAUUACAUAACUAUUUUUUUUUUAACAUAAGAUAAAAUAAAGUCAAAUUGUUGUCACAUAAUAUAAGCUAUUUUCAUAAGCUACUAUGAAGAGCUUAUGCAAAUAAGAUGGAAACAAUUUAUGGACAUGUCAUAUGCUAUUUCUAUAAAUGUUUAUACUACCUAAUGUUCAAAUAAUUCAUGAAUCAUGGAUUCAAAUGUCAUAACUAAUCAGUCCUAGGGGUGAUGUUAAGCAAAUAGUUAUAAAGGAUCUCAUCAAACAGUUUUACAAGCCAACCUUAAACUAAGAACUCAGAUAGAUAAAAACAAGGCUCAAACAUGAGACAAAUAAAUGGAAAAGAAAAAAGAAACAAAAAAGGAGGGUACUCAAAGUAAUAGUAGUAACUAGUAGGUAAGAAAACAAGUAUAGUACUAACCAGAGUGAAGUGGAGCAGAUUGAAGAGUAGAGAAGUGCUUUGUAGAAUGAAUACUGGCCAUCAUGUCCAAGUCCAUGAUGAUAUACCUUCUUUCUUUGUUUCUUCACAAGAGUACUGUGGAAAUGAACUGAAAGUGAAAGUGAUGGUUUUGUUUGGUUGAGGCUUGUGGCAGUGAAUGAAUGAAUGAGAAAAGGUUUAUGAGUCUGAAUGAACUCAACAACUCCAAAAGAGACGACUUUGCUUGUCCAUCAUUAGUCAAGUCAUCACCAUUCACCAAUGGCUUUGUGGCAAUGUGAUGUUUUGCUGAGUCAUGUUUGGUUUCUGACACUGGAUGCUUUUCCAACACACAAAAAGAUCAACAAUCAUGACUCUGACUCACACUUGUCCUAUUUUCUAUCAACAUUUUCUUUCUUUCCCAAAUUAAUUACUUCCUCUGAAAGUCUUCUAUGGUCACAAAGCUAUAUCAAAAAGAUUUGGACACACUCAUGUAAAAUGAAAAAUAAUUAAAAGAGAAUGAAAUUCAAUAAUACUUACUAAUGGAUAAAGUCUUGCUUAGGCACAUACCCAACACUUCAAUUUUGGGCACAUACUCACAUAAAACUAACAAAUUAAAUAAAAAGUAUUUCGUCACAUCAAAUGAUAUAUUAUAAUUUUAUUUUCUAUUAACUUUUUCUUGCUUUUGUGUGUAUGCCCAAAAUUGAGGUGUUAGGUUUGUGCCCAACCAAGACUUUCUCCUAAUUGAUGUGACUACAUUAGUUUUGUUUUAUUUUUUUUAGUUUAUGUGAGUGUGUCUAAAUAUGAGGUGUUGGGUUUAUAACCAAGAGUUUCUCUUACUUCCUAGGGUUGUAUUUACAAAAAAAAAAAAAAAAAUACAUUGAAUAAUGUAUGUAUGUAGUCAUGAAUCUAAACCAGAUACAUAAAUAUCCAAUAUAUCUAAAAAAUCAAUUGUUUCUUGUAAAUAGAACCGGAUGGAUGGAGUAAUAAAAAAACAAAUAUAGUAGAUAUUGCAUCGAAAUUGUGUAAUAAAUUUUCAAAAGUUAAAAAAAAGUGUUUUUUUAAUUUAAAAUUUCAAUUUUUUUGUUUUCUUAACUAGUGUUUGGGUACAACGGUUGGCAUGACCCAUUGAUAAUAACAUCGAACUAAUGUGAACUAUUUUCUGUUUAAAGAAAAUGUUAAUUAGUGUCUGGGGCAUUAGUUAAGAAACUAAAUCUUUUUUAGAAUUUGUUUAAUCAAACACUUAAAAGUUUAGAAAAUAUUCUUUUUAAUAUAAAACUUUUUGUUUAUUUCUUUAAUUAAUUUCAGGGCAUUAGUUAGCAUGAUCAUUUUUUAAAAUUUAGUAUCCAAUUCGAGUAUCAACUAAUUUAACUGUCAUGUAUGAAUUAAUCAACCAAAAUGACCUCGAGGUGAAUUGAACUUAGAGUAACAGAUUUCAAGUUUCCAAACCAAUCUAACUAAAACACCAUGGUUUUGAGUAUUUAAUUGAUCCCUCAUGUAAAUCAUAGCAGACAAUAUAUCUCUAAUAAAAUUACUAAAUAAAUCAACUAAUAACUAUACAACAGCACAUUUCAACAACGUUAAUUUAUUUUAAUAACAAAACACAUGAGAUUGUUGAGAGAGUGUUGUGUUUGCUCGUCGUCUUAUUUGGCAUUGUAUAGGUUUGUUAUCUUGAACGGCGUUUGUUGGUUUUCAUCUUAAUAUAGUGUUUGUUGGUUUAGAUUGACAUUAUCGUUUAAAUUCAUUGCAAAUAUAAUGAAAACUUGAGCGAAUGUUGUAAAUCCAAAAACAUAAAUACUUCUUUUACUUUUAUUUUGUCAUAUUUGUAGGUAUUAUGAUGUUGUCGUUGUAUGUUAUUAACUUAAAUGUUACAAGAUUGUCUGCGGAUUCAGUUUUUUCGGUGGAAAAAAAAUACAAAGCAAUGUCGUGGCAGUGAGCACCAUUGAUAACGUAGGUGCUAAGCAUCACACACACACACCUAUCCAAAGAGGCACCGAACCUCUAACAUCAAAAGGUAGUUCAAACGUAAAGUAGUCUUUUGUGACCUUAAAGUAGUCUUUAUAAACAUGCAUAAAAGCUAUGUUGAGAAAAAUGAUAAACACGACAAAUUUUUCCGUCCUUUUUACAUUCGAAUAUAUUCUACUUGGUAGUGGUUGAUGAAGAUGUUCAUGUGUAACUAGUAACGCCUUUACCUAAUGUGAAUCUUAUGGAUUAGUAGAAGCGACUAGGAAUAAAUAAUUAUAGGAGAAUGCCAAGUGUUGUCCUCUAACAGCACUUGCGUUUGACAAAUAAUUAUAUGGAUGCUUAAUGCUUUGGUCUCUAAUGUUCAUUGUUUUAGCUAUCUAGUUGAGGUGAUAUUUGCUGUAAUGGAAAGUUAAGGAAGAAAUUAUCAACAUUUUGUACUUCUUAAAUGAAGUCUCAAGUUUUGGAUGAACCUUUAAUUAGGAUUUAGUUAGAUUGUUGAGAUUGGUUUGAGUAUUUAGGGUAUGUUUGGAUUGUCUUAUUUUUUUAGUUUAUAAAAAAUAGUUUAUGUAAAUAAAUAAAUUUUUAUGUUAAUUCAUAAGUUUUUCACUAACAAAUAUUAUAUCUUGAUAAAUUGUUUUUUCGUAAACUACAUUAACAACCUUAUGAAUAAUACAUAAAAACUUAUUUAUUUGCAGAAGUUGUUUUACUUAAGCUCAAAAAUAAGUCAAUUCAAACAGACAUUUGUUCUAAUUUAAUUUAAAAUUUAAACUGUAUAUAUGCAUGUUGCGCAGAUUAAUAAAUAAAAUUAUUUUGUAUUUUUUUUGCUCAUGAUACAUAUUGUAAUUUAGGGUAUUUAUUGUAUGAUGAUUUCACGUAACAAAAAGAUGAGAAUAUAUUUUUUUAUCAAAAAAAUAGAGUUCAACACAUAUUGCUCCUUGAGUCUUGAGAUUUAGAGUGGUUCACUUGCAUCGUUCUCACUAAUGCAUUACAUUCACUCCUAAAGAUACACAUCAAUGGAGUUUUGUUGUUUAUACUAAUAUUGCUCCUUGAGGCUUGAGAUUUCAACAUAAAACCCUACUCUUAUAUCAGAUAUUGAUGUCGCCCUUAAAUCAUUCCUCACACGACUCAACGUCUAACCCUCAACUGUAAACACACUUGAUCAACUAAUGUUAUGAGCCGAUCAAUCCGAGAGCCUGCUCAAUCUUUCCAUGACAGUGUGAGAAAGUGAAGUUAUAAAAUAUUUUGUAAAAAAAUUGAAUGAAACAAAAGUGAGUCAAUUCACAAAAACUUUAUGGAUAUAUGAAAUAAUUCACUUAAAAAAAAUCAACAAAAACAUUUUUCAAAAAUAAGUGAAACGAUUCAAUAUUUGAAGUGAAAUGAUUCACUCUUUUCUCUGACAUUGUGAAACAAUUCACUCUACAUAGUGAAAUGACUCAUAAGUUAAAAAUGUUCAAAUUUCCAAAACCAACAAUCUGUGAAUGAAUGCAGGGUUUCAAAUAUGCAACCUAGAUAUAAUUGUGAAGUUUUUUUUUUUUUUUUUGAGCAAAUAUAAUUGUGAAGUUAAGAUCAUAGGAGAUUCUCUUCUGCUCUUUCUCUCUCAAAAAAAAAGGAGCUACCAAUAUUAACCUAACUACAAGAAAUUAAACAAAAGACCAAAUUAUGCACUCGUAAAUAAUUUUUCAUAAAAAAUUAUUUUGACUAUUUCAACGUUUUGCUAUGACUUUUUUGGAUAGUAAAAUUUAAAAAAUACUAAAAGUAAGAAGCUAUUUUGAAGUUGUUUCUCGUAAAAAUCAUUUUUAAAAGAUACUUUUCUAAAAAAAUAUUCAAUUUUUAUUUUGUUAAAAUCUUUGAAUAUGAAUAUAUAUAUAUAUAUAUAUAUAUAUAUAUAUAUAUAUAUAUAUAUAUAUAUAUAAGAAAGGAUAUAUUGACUCCAAGAGUAACUCAAUAGAGUUACUCCAGAUCACUACCAUCCAUUUUAUUUUAAUCUAACAGUCUAAAUUAAUUAUAUGCUUGUGCACCGAAUAAGAUUCCACACCCGAUCAACAUUGGAUUUUGUUAACAACAAAAAGAUCAAGACUUUUCUUUCCUAUUCAUACCUUCAGCCAGAAAAAUUGUAUUAACAACAAGAUUCAAAUUAAUGUUGCUUAUUGGGAAUAUAUCUCCAUCAUCAAAAUUUUGGUUGGAAAUAUAUCCUUCGUAAUUGGGAAUAUGAGAUCUCUUGGGAAUAUAUAUCCAUCAUCAAAAAUUAAAUUGCAUCAAAGUUUCUGAUUGAGAAUAUAUUUCAAUUGCAUCAAUUUGAAUUGGGAUUUUAAUUGUUAAUCUAAUUUUUUUUUACAAGAAUUGUUAAUCUAUUUAAUUGCUUCGAUCUCUUUGUUGAAUUUUUACAAGGUAUGAAUCAGAAAGAAAUGUCUUUGAUGGUUUUGUACAACAAAAUCUAAUGGUUCGAUCAGGUGUGGAAUCUUAUUCGGUGCACAAGAAUAUAAUUAACCAAGGCUGUUAGAUUAAAAUGAAAUGGAUAGUAGUGAUUUGGAGUAACUUCCUUCAUUGAGUUACUCUUGGAGUCAAUAUAUCCCUCAUCUAUAUAUAUAUUAUGAAUCACGGUGAAUAUCCAUGUUAUUAAUGUAAAAAAAAAAUUAAGAAGGUUAUUAAUGUCAAAUUACUUUUAAAACCAAAGACCGACUGCACUCUCAUAGAUUUGUUUUUAAUAAAAACCAUUUUGAGUAUUUCGUCAUUUUGAUAUGACUUUUGUGGGUAGUAAAAUUUAAAAAAAAAAUGCUAAAAAUGAGAAACUAUUUUGACGUAUCUUCUUGUAACAAUCAUUUUCGAGAGUUUUUUUUUUUUUAAAUAUUUAAUAUUUAUUAUAUUAAAAUCUCUAACAAUGAAUAUCUUCACUUUUUAAUGGCAAUGAAUAUCUAUCAUAAUAAUGUCAAAAUUACUUUUCAAGAGAUAUUUGAUCUAUGUGAUCAUAACUUAGUUGACAUAAAUAUUGCAUAUAUAUGUAGAAACUUGGGUUCAAACUUUUGAUCUCCAUUUAUUCACCUUAAAAGGGUGAAAUUUUAGUUGCUACACUGCUUGAUAAAAAAAAAAUUGUCAACUUUUGUAUUUUAUGAAACAUCAUUUAAAAAAAUCAUUACUUUUUUGGUGUGAAUCAGGUGGGUAUUCCUUGCAUGUAAAACUAAUAAUGGAUGGUAAGACUUUUAUAGAGAGAUAUAACACGAUUACACUCUCAUGAGGAACUUCAAACACAAGCCUCUUAUUAACCUUGAAAAGAUCAAUUUUUCAUUGUUUUAGGCGAGAAACAAAUAUUUUGGCAUAAAUCCACAAUCAUUUUAUAAUGAAAUAUAAGAAAAAUAAGGCUUAAUACAUCCCCCAGUCCUUUAAAUUAUUUUAUUUUCUCAGUUUGGUCCCUUAACUAUAAAGUGUUUCAAUUUGGCCCCUUAUGUAUUCUUCUGUUAUCUAUUUCGGUCAUCUCCGUUAGUAUUUUAAUGUCUAAUAUUUUUGAUUUGAUUUCAACCAUUUGAUUGCAAGUCCAUCGUAUACAACACUGAACCACCAACAUCUAAUCUUUUUUGUAUUUCUUCAUCUUCUUCUCAGAUCUUCUUCAUCUUCAUAAACAUUCAUAAAAAAAACAAUAAAAACCAAGAAAAAAACCCUUAAUCAGCCGGAAAGAGAAACGGCCAAGGACAAGAUGACAUAGCCAUGGAGAAGACAGUUCAAACACACAAACAGAACCGUACACAACCCGGAAAAGUGUUGCCGGAAAACCCCAGCUCGCCGGAGAAAUGUAAACGCUGAAGGAAAGCCAACAUAAUCCUCAAACUAGUGUUACCUGUAAAACAAAAAACGCAAACAGCUAGAAAAACCAGAAAACACAGUCCAAUUCCGAGCCAGAUCUCGCCGGAAAACACCUGCACCGGAAAAUGACGAGCCCAGAAAGAGAGGGAUUACGAUCCUGAGAAACACGAUCAUGUAGUAAACAGGACAAAGCUUCAAGAUGGCGCAAACUACCCAUAUCUCGCCGGAGUAAACCCUUCGGCGGAGAUAAGUGAAAAUAGUUGAAUCCAAGUGGAAUACAACCCAGAUAUGUGCGAAUUGGAAGAAACAGGCCAGAAAACACAGAAAAUCUUCAACCGCAACCUCACCGGAGAAGGCAGAUCACGCCGGAGAAGAGACAGUGAGAGGAGAGAACAGUGCAGAUCCGUUGAAACCAAGGAAAAUAGAGCUAAGCAGUGAAGAGAACGUGAAAAACUAGCCAGAGAACACAGCAAAACCUCACCGUACCAUCACCAGAAUCUCGCCGGAAAUAGACCAGGAGGAGAGAGAACAUAGCUUUCGGUCGAACAUUCUUUGCUGGGUUUGUUUGAAGAAAAAUAUGAUGAAGAAUUUAAUUUUCUUGUUUUGAAGAUGAUAAAAAAAAUUAUAUAUAUACAUAUUUUUUUUUAUUUCUGGGUUUUAAUGGUUGAAGAUUGAUGAAGGUAUAUAUAGAUGUUAUUGAAGAUGAUGAAGAAAUUAAAGGAAGAAGAUGAAGAAAGGGGAAAAAAUUGGUUGUUGGCGGUUCACUAUACGAUACAAUAGACAUGUAUGAUCUAACCGUUCUCAUUAAUAGACAAAAGAUCAAAGGGUUAAAAUUAAAAAUCUAUUAAGAUCUAUGGUGGACCACCUAUAAUGUUGGUUCACCUUAUACAUUUAUGGUUAAAAACUAACGAAAUAGACCAAAAUAGGUAACGGCAGAAGAGUUAAGGGACCAAAUUGAGACACUUUAUAGUUAAGGGACGAAACUGAGAAAAUAAAAUAAGUUAAGGGACCGGGAGAUGUAUUAAGCCGAAAAAUAAUAUGUAUUUGUUUAAACAAGCAAAAAAGUUAAUCUAUGUAGUUCAAAAUUUAGUCUGUAGACAUUAAUUUUUUAUCGAGUAAAUAAGCAAUUAUUCCUCGAAAUUGUAAGUUUCGUCAAUUAUCCCCUGACGUUAACAAAUCUUCAAUUACCCCCUUAAAUUGCACCACGUUAAUCAAUUUACCCUCUCCUUCAAAUUCUUCUAUUAGUCACAUUACGUUUUACAAAUACUCCCUAAAGUUUUGCACUUAUUGCAAAAUGCCCCGAACUUUAAAAUUUAUAUAUUUUUUUUCUUAUACUUGACUCAAAAGAUAUUAAAGGCAAACAAUUAACAUAGUGGUUGAUAUUUUUUGUAAAAAAUGUAUAAUUACAAUAUUUUUCAACUUAGCUACAUAUUUAAAUUGAUAUGCUUUGUUUUAUAAAUGGAUUACAUGACAUUUUUUUUAACCAAUGAUUAGAUGACAUUGUUUCUAAUUGUUUGUCUCCAAUACUUAUCUGAUUAUGAAAAUUAUAUCAAAUGACAAUAUACACUAUUAUCAUUUAGCAAUAUAAUUCGUUACCAUGUGGCAUCAUCCACUAUUUUGAAAUCACAGAGAUAUGAAAGAAUUAAAUGAAUAGUAAAUAAAUACACCUCUUAGAUAAAGCAAUAGUCUUGUAAAUCUUGCUUUAGUUUUGGAUUGCAAUUGGAGAUGCAUUAGUGUGUCAGCAAAGUUAAAAACUCAUUUUACAUAUUGUUGAAUUUUGAGAGUUUUUUUGUGUCUCAUUGUUGUUGUUUAUAAAUAGCUAAACAAUUUAUGUAUGCUUAUAUUCUUGUUUCAUUCUUGCACAUCUUCUGUUUGGAUCUGGUUUAAUAGUAUAAGUAUAUUUUGCCUUUGCAAAAAAGAAGAAGCAAUAGAUAAGUAAAUCUGUGAAGGGACUGAAGUUGAGCCUAUUAAGUAGAUCAUGACAAUAUUGAAGCAUAUGAAUGAAAUAGAAAAUUAUACGUGCAGAAGAAACAACUAUUCAAUUUCAAACAUAAUCUAAAGAGACAACCAAAUAGUCCAUAUAACAUAGAUGAAGAACCAAAUAUCAAGUAGAGAUUCUAAAAGAUUUUCAUUAAAGCCAAAUGUUAAUUGUUUGCUUUUAAUAUCUUGAGUCAAGUAUAAGAAGAAAAAAAUAUAUAAAUUUUCAAGUUCGGGGAGCAUUUUGCACAUAAGUGUAAAACUAUAGGGGGGAUUUGCAAAACGUGAUGUUGACUAACAGAAGAAUUUGACGGAUGAGGUAAAUUGAUUAACGUUGUAUAAUUCUAGAGGAGUAAUUUAAGUUUUGUUAACGUCAUGAGGUAAUUGUCGAAACUUAAAAUUUCAGAGGAGUAAUUGUCUAUUUACUCAUUUUUUAUCUAUCAUUUUUACUUUUAUUUCCUUUCGGAUAGAGUAUACUCCCUCCGUCCCACAAUAACUGAUUCUUUUGCAAAAAAAAAAUGUUCCAAAAUAACUGAGCCAUUUCACUUUUCAAUACAAUACAUUACUUUUUUUUUCUUUAUAACUCUAAAUAAUACUCCAUCCGUUUCAAAAUGAGUGUUGCUUUAAACUUUGGCACACAAAUUAAGAAAUGGAAUGAAAUAAUCAUUGGAUAUAAUACUUUUACUAAAUUGCUCUUACUUUAUAAGAAAAAGACAAAAUUAAAGUUGCAUUGAAUAUUGUGUGAGAGAAAACCUGGAGAGGGUAAAGUUGGAAGAAAAAAAUUAAAGUUGUAUGGGAAAUGUAAAGUGACCUUCAUUUUGAAACAAAUAUUUUUGGCUAAGGUGACACUCGUUUUGAAACGGAAGGAGUAAUACUUUCACAACUUCCAAUUCAAUAUAUUUCAUUUUGCAUUUAUGAUAGUGGAGAAUGUACCAAUAUUUGACAAUAAAAUCAUUGUUCUCUCUUCUUCAUUUAUACAUUUAUCUUAAUAUGUGUGAAAAGAAAAAAUGACUCAGCUAAUUUAGGACCGAUGUAGUAUUUGGGAAAGAAUUCAAUUUUUUUACUUUUUAUCGCGAGAAAUAUUCAAUAUUCACAUUACCAUUGAUGGAGUACCGGUAAUGCAUUGCUCCGAAUUCCUAAACCUGCAGCAAUGAAAGCGUUAGAAUCAGUUGCUCGUAAUCUCAGAUUCAUCAACUCGUUACUCACCAUCCGAGUCACUACAACUCGCUCACUCCACCAGGUUUCUCACUUCUCUCUCUACACCCCACCACCCCUUUUUAUCCCCUCCCCGUUUCACGAUUCACGUUUUCAUCAAACACACUAUGUUUCAUCAAAACCCAACUCCAUUGUUGAGCUUAUUCAAACAAACGCUUGGUCUCAAGGGUUUGAAAAAGAGUUAGAAAAUUGUUACCCUUCUUUGACCCAUGAAACCGUUGUUUACAUUUUGAAACAAUUGGAUAAUGACCCAUUAAAAGCUUCUUGCUUUUUCAAUUGGGUCAGUAAGAAAAAUUGGUUUUUGCCAAGUUCUUCAUUGUGUAAUUUGAUUCUUAGGAUUUUAGCUAAUAAGGAUACAAUUGAACAAUUUUGGAUUCAUUUAAGGAUGAUGAGGAAAAAAGGGUUUUAUCUUGAUCGAAUUACGUAUAGGUCGAUUUUGGAGGGUUUUAGACGAGAGAAAAUGAACAGGGAUUUCGCUUGUCUUAAAACUUUUUUUAAGAAUAUGGUUGAGGAAAAUGCAAGGCAGGUUGUUUUCAACAAGGUGGUUAGUGUGAUUUUAGGAUCUGAGUGGGGUGAUGAGGUUGUGAAUGAGCUUGUAGAGCUUAAGAUUCAAUUUUCGGAUAGUUUUGUGAUACGGGUUUUGAAAGAGCUUCGAAGUUGUCCUUUAAAGGGUUACAACUUUUUUUAUUGGGUUGGGAAGCAAUCUGGUUAUCAACAUAAUGCUGUGACUUACAAUGCAGUUGCUAGAGUUCUUGCUAGGAUGGAUUCAAUUGAGGAGUUUUGGAGUAUUCUUGCGGAGAUGAAGAGUGUGAAUUAUGAAUUGGAGAUUGAUACUUAUAUGAAGAUAACAAUGCAGUUUGUAAAGAAUCAGAUGAUGAAGGAUGCUGUUAAGCUUUACGAGCUUAUGAUGGAUGGUUCAUAUGAGCCAUCGGUUCACGAUUGCUGUUUCCUUUUAAACGCUAUCGCUACAAGUGAUUCACCGAAUUCGGAUCUUGUUUUCCGGGUAGCCAAGAAAUAUGAAUCCGCAGGGUAUACUCUCACCAAGGAAAUCUAUGAUGGAAUACACAGGUGUUUGACAAGUGUGGGGAAAUUUGACAAAGCUGAAAAUAUUGUUAAGACUAUGAGAAAUGGUGGCCAUGAACCUGAUAAUACUACAUACAGUCAACUGGUUUUUGGACUUUGUAAGAUGAAGAGGGUUGAAGAAGCAUGUAAGGUGCUGGAGGAGAUGGAAUCUAGUGGCUGCAUUCCUGAUAACAAAACUUGGUCCAUCUUUAUCCAAGGGCAUUGUGCUGCCAAUGCAUUAGAUAAGGCAUUACUUUGUUUAAGUAAGAUGAUUGAAAAAGACUGCAAUCCAGAUGCUGCUGCGAUAGACGCUUUGGUUGAUAGCUUUCUUAGUCAAGAGAAAAUAGACAACGCAUACAAGUUUCUUGUAGAGAUGGUUGAGAUAUGCGCUUCUCCUAGGCAAUGUACAUACGAGAAAUUGAUCCAAAACCUGUUAGGAAUCGGAAAAUUUGAAGAUGCACUUGACCUUCUUUGUUUGAUGAGGAAACACAAGUACUCUCCAUUCAACAAACCAAUUGUGCAGUAUGUUUCAAAGUUUGGGACCGUGGAGGAUGCUGAGAAAUUCCUGAAGGCAUGGAGAAAGGGAAGUCCUAGGUCCCAUUCCGCCUAUCUUCAUGUUUUGGAAUCUUUCAUCGGAGAAGGUAGACUCUCUGAGGUCAAAGAUCUAUUGUGCAAGUUUCCUUCGCAGAUAAAGAGACAUAAAAAGAUCAAUGAAUUUUUUAGCUUCAGUGGAGACUCGGAUGUUGCCAGUGCUACUUGAUGCCCAGAAAACUUUUCCUUCCUAGUGUCCAAAAUGCGUCAAAAGUCAGAGGUCUUGGAUUGGAUUCCUGCUUGUGGUCUUUCAGAAAUCUGUCAUUUGUAAGCAUCAGGGUAAGCUACUGAUCUAUGUAUGCCAUGAUCUUGGAUUCAGGCAAGUGACAACCUCCUUUCACUCUAGACUACUAAUUGCAAUUUGUGAGUUUCUCCAAAUGAUUAACUUUGAUCAGGCUUUUAGGCAUGUUUGGUUUUUGCACUGUGCAGAAAACCUCGUCUGAACCAGUAAUUUCAUCUCUAACACAAUGUUUUACAAGGUUUACCAAUUACAUCUUUUAUGUUCAUCUUUGAGAGACUGACCUUUGAUGAGUACUGUUUUGAGGGUGAAAAUAGAAGUAGGAAUGCUGUUUUGGCUUCCGAGGAUAGUUUUUAUUUUAUUUUUUUAAUUUUUUGUUACAAGGCCUGCAUCAUUGUUCACUAUGUUACAAGGCCUGCAUCAUUGUUCACUAUUGUUCACUAUUUCGACUACACUCACUUUGGAACUAAGAAAUAAGAACGAUGUUAUCAUUUUCAAUGAAUUACUGUUUUGUUUUGAAGCUCUUCCCCCGUUGAUGAGGUAAUGUUAACAAAGAUGGCAGAAUUAUUGACAAAAUCAGAUGAUAGUUUACGUACACUCUGCCUUAUAGUCUUACUUGGUUAAAAAGGGCAAAAGAAGCGAGAGCUCGUAAUCAUAUAAAUACAAUGUUACACUUCUAGUUUGGACCAAUUAGUCUCAGUUUUACAGGAUACAGAUCUAAUAUUUUGAGCAUAAAAAUAUUGUUAUUAAGUUACAGUAAAACAAAUUGUUUAGAAGGGAUUCGUCCUUUUAGCACUUGGUAGCAUUUAAAAUAUAGGUUUCUUAUUUUCAGGUAAGAAGAUAUCAUGAAUCACUCAUUAAAUUAUUUUUUUGCUUGGACUCCAGCUCUAGUAAGCAAAUAAAGAGUAUUAUUAUUCAUGAACUAUGAUUAUGUGAGCAAAAAUUAAUUUUUUGCUUUGUAGCCUUGUAGGUGUGGAGGUACUUGCUGAUAAGUUAAUAAGAGUAUGUGCUCUACAUUCAUUCAUAACUAAUUGAAUAGGAUGGAUACAUUACAAAAACCAUGUUCUUAUGCCGACAUCUACCAUCAUCUUAUGUUAAGUAAUUGUUGGAUUCGGUUUCAUCUUCUUCUUUUACAGAAAAAUAUACUUUAUUUCAUUAAAAACGAGCAUUUAAACUGGCUGUUGCCUUAACAAAUUGAUGGGCAGUCGUGUUAGCUUGUCACCUAGUGAACUCGCAACAUGAUAGUUUAAACAAGAUAACAAAAGGAGUCAUUAAUUUGGAUAAAUUUGUAUUACUUGAAUAAACUUGUAUUCUAUAACCAAUGAACUGCAACACUCUCUUAUUUAAUAAAAUUAAUAUUGACCUCAUACUUUAGAAAUGAGUCGCGCAUGAAUUGAUGAGAUCUACAUUGAUUUCACCUAAUAAAAGAAUGGGUGUUAGAUCGAGUGUUAGAAAAAGAGUGUUCCUAAUACUCCUCUCUUUGAAAUAUAUAACUAGCUUUCAAGUAAAUCGAAGUCUACGGCUAUAAUUUUGGGAAACUCUAAAUAAUUAGUUAACAAUAUGACUAGCUAAUUGCACAUCAAAUGCGACAAAAGCGUAACUUGAUGACUUUUAUGUGAACUUAGGGUUAGAUGGAAAGAGUAAUUUUCGCAAACAACCUUAACUUAAAGAAUCAAAUUGACAAUUUUUAUAGUUAAUGGACUAUUUGUAAACCUGUUUUAUUAAUGAUAUUUUGAAAAUGAUAGUUGUUCUUGUUGGAGAAUAUAAAUGUCCAUGAUUCGAAAUGGCUUUUGCAAUGAUUUACACUAGUUGGCAUCAAUCUUUUAUGCUAGGCUCAAACAUGAUUUUAAGAUCCUAGCUACGCCAUACGUUCAAUACAUAAUCUGGAAAGCUGCAGGGAUGACAAAAAGAGGGCGCUUUCCUGUGUUGCACUGAAAAAAAAAGAAACCUAACUAAGUAAGAGAGAGAGAAGAUGGAUCCUAUCCCCUAUAUCGAACACUAAAUCCUAUCUAGAUGAACCUACAAAGACACUCCAAUAUCCAAGUCGGUGAUGUUUCAAUGUGAUUUGAGGAGAUUUUAUAUAAUUAGAUUGUGUACCUUAUGAUCGUUUGGAGGGAUCAUAUGGACUCUAAGAAUGUUGUUUGGUGCAUCACAAUUUUUCAUCAGUGUAUGUAGUCAGCACUCAGCAACAAUAGAUAGACACUUUAUUAGACCUUAGUUGUGAUAAUUGAAUGUGGAUCCGAAGAGUUUCACCUUGAUCUAGUCUUAAAAAAAUAAAAUUGUUUAGAUAUUUUUUGAGUGAAAAUUAUUUAGAUUUUGUUUAUCUAUUUCCUUUUAGCAAUUAUUCUAUCAAAUAUGGUUUUUUUUCUUUAUUACAUUGGAAUCUUGAGUAGUACUAUAAAUCUUGUCGUCACUUUGGUAUAAACAAUGCAUAAUGUACACCACCAAAAAAAAGUCAUGGAAAUAUAAACGGGUAUGCAAGACAGUAGAUCCAUUAACCCAUACCCACAAGACAAAAUAAUCCUUAAACCUUAAACCCUUCCCAAAAACACAACCUUAUUAGCGUCGCGCAGCAAUUUCUUCUCCGAAACAAUCCAAACUUUUACGAUGAAUCGCAUGAAAGCAAUAACCACUUCCCUCAAAUUCCUCAAAUCAUCAUCAUCAUCAUCACGCGCUACACAAGUUCUUGCAACUGGGUACCAGGUUUCUCAUUUUUCUUCUUCCUCCUUUUCACUUCCUAUGUUGAAUCGUUCACACAAUUUAUUACCUUUUCACAACAGUCAUAAAAAACACUAUUUUUCUUCAAAACCCAACUCAAUUUUAGAGCGUGUUUACACCAAUGAUUGGUCUGAAGAGUUAGAGAAAGAAUUUGAAGAAUGUCGUGAAUCAUUGACCCAUGAAACUGUUGUUUAUGUUUUGAAGCGAUUGGAUAAUAACCCUCUUAAAGUUUUCACCUUUUUCAAUUGGGUCAGUGAGAAAGAGUGGUUUAUGGCUAGUUCUUCGGCUUAUAGCUUGGUUCUCAGGAUUUUAGCUAGGAAUAAGAAUAUGAAAGAGUUUUGGAUUGUUCUUAAGGCUAUGAAGGAAAAUGGGUUUUAUUUAGAUGAAGAGACACAUUUGAUACUUUCGGCAGAUUUGAAAAAGGCGAAGAUGAAGAGUGAUGUUGUUGAGUAUUCACGUUUCUAUAAAGGGAUGCUUGAGCAGGAUGCAAUGCAGAGUGUUGUCAAAAAGGUGGUUGGUAUUAUUUCAGGGUCUGAUUGGGACAAUGAGAUUGAGAAUGAACUCGAGAAGGUUAAAAUUCAACUUUCGGACAAUUUCGUGAUUAGGGUUAUGAAAGAGCUUCGAAAUAGUCCUUUAAAGGCUUAUAAGUUUUUUCAUUGGGUUGGAAAGCAAUCUGGUUAUCUACAGAAUACAGUGACUUAUAAUGCAGUUGCUAGAGUUCUUCCUAGAAUGGAGUCAAUUGAGAAGUUUUGGAGUAUUCUUGAGGAGAUGAAGAGUGUCGGUCAUGAAUUGGAUCUUGAUACUUACAUUAAGAUAUCGAGGCAGCUUCUAAAUAAUAGGAUGAUGGAGGACAGUGUCAAGCUUUACGAGCAUAUGAUGGAUAGUUCAUAUAAGCCUACAGCUCCGGAUUGCAUUGUGCUUUUAAAGAGCCUAUCUACAAAGGAUAAGCCAGAUUUGGAUUUAGUUUUCAGGGUAACUAAGAAAUUUGAGUCAACAGGGUAUACUCUUUCCAAGGCAGUCUAUGAUGGUAUUCAUAGGUCUUUGACAGGUGCUGGGAAAUUUGAUGAAGCUGAAAAGAUUGUCGAGACCAUGAAAAAUGCUGGCUACGAACCAGAUAACAUCACAUACAGUCAACUUAUUUUCGGAUUUUGUAAGACGAGGAGGUUCAAAGAAGCACUUAAGGUAAUCGAUCAUAUGCAAGCUAUCAAUCUUUGGGUUGACAUCAAGACUUGGACCAUCUUGAUCCAAGGGUACUGUGAUGCCGGCGAACUAGAUGGUGCGUUACUUGGUCUUUAUAAGAUGAUGGAAAAGUCUUCCAGUCCAGAUGCUGAAUUGUUGGAAGUACUGGUUGAUGGUUUUAUUAAGCAAAAGAGAAUAGACGAUGCAUACAAGUUGCUUCUAGAGAUAUCUGGCAAGUGUCAUUUAAGUCCAUGGCAAGCUACAUUCGAGAAACUGAUUGAUAGUCUAUUAAGAGUCAGAAAGUUUGAGGAGGCGCUCGACCUUCUUCGUUUGAUGAAGUCUAAACAAUGCUCUCCAUACCAUGAACCAUUUGCAUCAUAUAUUUCGAAGUUUGGGACCGUGGAGGAUGCUGUGGAAUUCCUGAAAGCAUUGAGUAUAAAAAAUUACCCAUCUCAAACAGUUUACCUCCAAAUUUUUGAAUCCUUAUUUCAAGAAGGUAGACUUUCAGAGGCCAAAGAUCUAUUGUACAGGUGUCCUCACCAUAUCCGGGAAAAUAUUAAAAUCUCCAAACUUUUUGAUUCAUCCAAGAGUCAGGCGACCGAGAGUCAAAUGGCUGCUACUUGAUCCCUAUUUUUUUGUACGUACGGGGCAAAAAACACUUGUGUAAACCUGUAAUUUCAUCACAGAGAGCAAUUUUUUUAGAGGGUUUACUCAUCACAGCUUCUGUGUUCAUCUAACAGAGUAUGACCUUUCUGAGUGCUGUUUUUAGGUGACAGUUAAGCUUCAAAGGUUUUUGUUUUCAUUUUUAAUUCAAGCAUGUAUCAUAGUUCAUAAUGUUACCGUUUAUUUUGAAGUUGACUACCCACUUUGGAACUAAGAAAUAUGAAUGAUAUGUCAUUUUCAAUGAAUUACUGUUUUGUUUUGAAGUAGUUCGCUGUUGACAAGGCAAUGUCAAGAGAAACGACUCUCAGAUUUAUAGGAUACGGAUUUCAUCGUUUGAGCAUAAAAUAGUUAUAUAUAUAUAUAAAGGGCAUUUUAAAUGAGAGGACUUUUUAAAUGAGAGGGUGAGAGGAUGAAACUGUGGCCUUUAAAUUAUUUAGAUGGCUGUGAUUUAAUUCUCACAUUAGUAGGUCACGUGACACUAAUUUGCUGAGCAAUUAAACAAAACACGCGCGUCCCUCACAACGUUUCUUAUUCCAUCUUCUUCCCUUCAUUCAACGUAAAACCUUUCUUUUUCUGCAAAAACCAUCACUACUUCUUCCAACCAAAUACAACCAAACGUUGCACUUCAUGGAUAAAGAUACAUUAAUUUGAUUUGGACAACUUGCACUUCUAUUGAGUUACGUUCAUCAUUCUUCAUGGACAAAGAUACAUCAACUUCUUUUCAAAUUUCUCAGGUAUAUUAUAAUUAGUAUGACUUAAAUUCAUUUGUCAUCUAACUAUUAAUCAUAUUCAACUAUCGAUCCCUAAAAUAUAUAUUUUUUCUAUGAAAUUUCAUUUGCCUUGUUAUAUCACCUCAUAUUCAACUAUUGAGUUACGUAACUUUUUUUUUCUUUUCAUGGGAUGAUAUUGGGUUUAUAUAUGGGUGUGUAUUAGCUGGUUUUUUUUUUUCCUUUUCUAUUUUCUUGUUGGUUUUAUUGCUGUUCAAUGGUGGGUUUGGCAUGCGGUGAGUAUGUGCAUCAUGACAGCCGCAAUUGUCCCCAAAGAUCAUCUCCAUAAUUUUGGUAAGAAGCCCCUUUCAAAAUGUACUUAUUUUGAUCUUUUUUGUGUUCAUGUUUAUGGUGCAUUUGUUUUGAUCUUUUUGUGCUCAUGUUUAUGGUGCAUUUGUUUUGAUCUUUUUGUGCUCAUAUUUUUACUUGAUGUUUUUAGGAUUGGAAGAAUGACAUAGAAGAAGGAUGAAGGAAGUUAGACAAACCAGAUGAAUAACAUAGAAGAAUGAAUGACACUUCCUGUUCUUUAUGAUAUGAUUUGAAAGUUUAGUUUUGUGAUCAUGCUAGCAUAUUUUUGUAUCAAUAACUUAAAAUUGUAAUGCAGAAUUUCAAUUUGUGAUCAUGCUAGCUUAUUUUGUAUCAGUAACUUAUUUUGGUGAAUGCAGAAUUUUAGUUACCAAGUAUCACUCCUAUUAUUAUGAUGUGCCUACUUUUAUGCAGCUCAUAACAAAAUGCCUAUUUUUAUGUCAAAAUGAACUAGAAUAAAAUAACAGCAUUUUGGUGAGUUUUGGUGGCUGACAGUUUUGUGGUUUUAUGUUUCUUCUAUGUAUCAGCAGCUGUAUUUUGUUCCACAGUCAUGUUUCAUUCCUGUUUUUGUGCCACUGUCAACUAGAAAGUAUAACCAACAAAAUAUAAUGCCAAUUUUAUUUCGUUCCAUUAACUAUAAUGCCGUGUAAAUGGCCUUAUGGUCUCGAAAGUAUAACCAACAAUGAAUACCAAUUUUAUUUCAUAUAGUAUAUAAUUUGCUUUACAAUGCAAAUGUGAAUUACAUCACAAAAUACACAAAAUAGAAAUUACAUUUGAUGUUGCAAAAAGAGUACAAUUAAGGAGGGCCUUAAAACAAAGGGUGCCUCUCCACCAAAAUCAAAACUCAACAAAAAAAACCCUGGAAACCUGCUAGAAACCAAAAUAGCAAUAAAAGCCAGCCAGAAGCAACUCCGAAACACGCUAGCAAGCCUCCCAAACACAACACCAAAUCACAACUGCAGUGGCAUCACGGAAAAACUGCAACUCUGCACAGGACUGCUGUCAAACACAGCAGCACAUAAAAUCUAUUUUUUCUUAUUCUUCAAGUUCUUAUUCUCUGUUUGUUGUCUAGCAUAUAAAUUUCCUUGAGAAGCAUCCAUGCUUGACCAUUUCACACAUUGCCAUCACCUUAUUCACUGAAAAUUGAACCUAAAUCCACGUAAAUUCAAAAAGUAGUUAAUAGUUUUUUUGAAUGAUAUUUAAUCAGUAUAACAAAAAUCAAGCAAAAAUCAAGCAUUUUACUCCAUCAAUCUCUAAUUAUAAAACUUUUCUAAUAAAAUUAGGCAUCAACAAGUACAUAUAUUACAACUAGUUAGUUAAUUCCUCUUUAACAUUAACAAAAAGGGACUGCCACAAGCAGAAGCAGUGCUGAAACUUACUCAUAUGAGCAUGACAAAGUUGCAAAUGAAUACUUGAAUGACACACAGAAAGUACAUGUGUUGCUUUGGUGAAUAAUUUAAUUAGAAAAAUGAAGAAUGAAAAGCACUUAAUAAAUCACAACUUUCAAAUUCAAUAUUGACCACACCACAAUCUAUGUCUACUAAAAGAAGUAUAUAAUGGGAGAGGAAUGUUCCUUUUAACAAGAAGAAAAUGUAUGCUCCAUUCACGCAGUUCAUGCUUAUAUGAGCACUUACGAAGUCAAUAGCUCUGUACGGAAAGGAGAACCAUCAGUGACAAGAAUGUAUAUUAAAGUUCCAAGCAUAACAACACCCAAAAUGCUGAAAAGGAUUUUUAAAGUCGCAACAACAUAACAAGAUGUAAAAAAAUUGGGGUAAACAAUUUCCAACCUGUUAAUAACCGAAAUUGAGAAGUGGCUGUCGAGAUAUCGUCGGAAUUGAGAAGUGGUUGUGGAGAUAUCGUCGGAAUGACCGUUUUUGGAGUAGAACAAUGACUAAAGAAAGAAUGGUGCUGAAACGAUGAAGAAAGGAGAACUUUCAGAAAUCGCGUGAGGUGAGAGAAAUCAACGCGCGUGAAAUUGAUGAAAAGAGAGUCAUGUGA